GAACCAGUCAAGAUAUAAUAUAGUGGUCAUAUCGUUGUAGCAACUGAAAUUUGCAUAACAUAAAAACCCAAUCUGAUUGUAGGUUGUGAAGUUCGAAGUUGUGAAAGAAAAUCGAAAAGCAUGCGGAUAAAUGGAAGGAUGAGAGAAAGAGAGAAAGAAAAUAUCAAUGAUAUAAGAUUCCAAUAUGUAAGGUCUGUAAGUCAUCUCAUAAAAAACAGUGUAAUAUAGCAUCAAUACUGAUUCAUCCCUAACUAGAUGAAUCCGCUCAUGGAACAAAAAAAAUCAAGAGCCCCGAGCCAAUAAAAACUGAGAAAAUUGACUUAAGAAAAAAUUUCAUUAAGGGCUCCGUUGGAGAAUUCAGACCUAACCAUUAAUCGAGAAGCAAUGGGAACGACGGAACCCGUGAAUAAAGAAAAAGAAGAUUCUAUUGGAAAUGAAUCUUAAUGAUUUAUUGGGUGGGAUGGCGAAACGAACCCAGGAACUAAACUAUUCUUUUAUUCGUAGAGGUCAUGAACUAACCCUACAACUGAAAUAGAUAUUGAAAGAGUAAAUAUUCGCCCGCGAAAGGUUUAUUUUUUGAUUUUAUUGGAUUGAUUCAUUUUGAUCGAUCCGAUAUGGUAAAGGGCAAAACAAAAUAAAGAUUUGUUAUAACGAUAAAAAAAAAAAGACAUUGAGAUUAUCUAUAAAUAGAACAUAAAUGUUUCAAUUCUAUAUCUAAACAUGAUAUACAAAUUUAGAAUAGAUUAAUUAGAUGAACUUUCAAAAAAUCCUAUGCUUCAGUAUAUUAUUCAUUAAAUUCCCCUAUAUCUUGAUAAAAUCGUUUUUAGUCCUUUCAUUCGCGAGGAGCUGGAUGAGAAGAAACUCUCAUGUCCAGUUCUGUAGUAGAGAUGGCAUUGAGAAAGAACCAUCAAUUAUAACCCCAAAAGAACAAGAUUCCGUAAACAACAUAGAGGAAGAAUGAAAGGGAUAUCUUAUCGAGGUAAUCAUAUUUGUUUCGGCAGAUAUGCUCUUCAAGCACUUGAACCCGCUUGGAUCACAUCUAGACAAAUCGAAGCGGGGCGCCGCGCAAUGACACGAAAUGUACGGCGCGGUGGAAAAAUAUGGGUACGUAUCUUUCCAGACAAACCAGUUACACUAAGACCCACGGAAACCCGUAUGGGGUCCGGUAAAGGAUCCCCCGAAUAUUGGGUAGCCGUCGUUAAACCGGGUAGAAUACUUUAUGAAAUGAGUGGAGUAGCUGAAAUAUAGCUCGAAAGGCUAUUUCAAUAGCGGCGUCCAAAAUGCCUAUAAGAACUCAAUUCAUUAUUUCGGGAUAGGAAUGUCGAAACAAAGGAAAUAAAUCUUGGGUAUAAAAAAUGCGGGUCUUUUUUUUUUUUUUUUUCUUUUUUUUUUUACUUUUUACUUCGUCCUUUCAGUGCUUUACUUUAAAUUAAACAUUAAAAAAACGGACUCAAAAAACGAUAUGAUUCAACCUCAAACCCAUUUGAAUGUAGCAGACAAUAGCGGUGCCCGAGAAUUGAUGUGUAUUCGAAUCAUAGGAGCCAGUAAUCGUAGAUAUGCUCAUAUUGGUGACGUUAUUGUUGCUGUGAUCAAGGAAGCAGUACCCAAUACGCCUCUAGAAAGAUCAGAAGUGAUCAGAGCUGUAUUGUACGUACUUGUAAAGAACUCAGACGUGAUAACGGUAUGAUAAUACGGUACGAUGACAAUGCUGCAGUUGUCAUUGAUCACGAAGGAAAUCCAAAGGGAACUCGAGUUUUUGGUGCGAUCGCCCGGGAAUUGAGACAGUUGAAUUUUACUAAAAUAGUUUCAUUAGCACCUGAAGUAUUAUAAGAGGGGACCGCGAUAUAGUGAUAGUAUGAAAGAAAAUAAAAUAGAUAAAUCAAAAUUUAGUAGAGUAUGUCUCACGCAUAUACUUUUAAUAAUUUUCAUAAAAAAAAGAACAUGUUGAUUAUAUCAAAAUUUGGAAGCAACAAAAUUUUCAGUUUAUCAUGGGCAAGGACACUAUUGCUGACAUAAUAACUUCUAUACGAAAUGCUGACAUGAAUAGAAAGGGAACGGUUCGAAUAGCAUCUACUAACAUCACCGAAAACGUUGUUAAAAUCCUUUUGCGAGAGGGUUUUAUCGAAAACGCAAGGAAACUCGUGGAAAACAAAAAAGAGUUUUUGGUUUUAACCCUACGACAUCGAAGGAAUAGGAAAGGGCCGUAUAGACCCAUUUUAAAUUUAAAACGAAUCAGUCGACCCGGUCUACGAAUCUAUUUUAACUAUCGACGAAUUCCUAGAAUUUUAGAUGGGAUGGGGAUUGUAAUUCUCUCUACUUCUCGGGGUAUAAUGACAGACCGAGCGGCUCGACUGGAAAGAAUCGGUGGAGAAAUUUUGUGUUAUAUAUGGUAAUUAUUCUGCUAUCCGAAUUGUAUUUGGAGCUUACUUUUAUGUUGUGAGAAAAAAAAAAAGGGGAGGAUUCCUCGAGGUUUAAUUACCGAAUAACUUACCAAAGGUAUGCUCCGGGUUCUUUUAGAUAGUUUAGAGAGCGAAGUAAGAUUCUAGAUUAUGUUUCAGGAGGGAUGCGACCCGUUUUUCUACAUCUACUCCCGGUGGCUAGAGGCAAAAUUGAAGGAAGUCGUUAUGAUUCAGAUUCAACUGGAGGAUAUAAUAAUAAUAUAUAGACUACACAAAAGGAUUUGAGUGAUUAGGUGAUUUUUCAACAUUCCUUUCAGGGGGAUACAAAUCGCGGUUCAAAAAUUUCAAGAAACUUAUUUUCUUCCAACUUCCAAUAAGUAGAUUCGAAAUUCAUUUAAGGAAUAACAAUUAUGAAAAUAAGGGCUUCAGUUCGUAAAAUUUGUGAAAAAUGUCGACUGAUCCGCAGGAGGGGACGGAUUAUAGUAAUUUGUUCCAACCCGAGACAUAAACAAAGACAAGGAUAAUCUUUCGAAAAGUUUAGAAAGUAACCGAUGAACAAAUCAACAUAAAAGAUCGGUUUUGACAUGAAAUGGAUAUAUCCAUAUAUCUCUGACUUAUAUUUAUGAAAUGAUCAAAUAUGGCAAAAUCUCCACCACGAAGUGGUUCACGUAGGCCGGGACGGAUCGGUUCACGUAAAAGUGGACGUCGAAUACCAAAGGGCGUUAUUCAUGUUCAGCAAGUUUCAACAACACCAUUGUGACUGUUACAGAUGUCCGGGGUCGGGUAAUUUCUUGGUCCUCGGCCGGUACUUGUGGAUUCAGGGGUACAAGAAGAGGUACGCCUUUUGCUGCUCAAACCGCAGCAGGAAAUGCUAUUCGAGCAGUAGCGGAUCAAGGUAUGCAACGAGCAGAAGUCAUGAUAAAGGGUCCUGGUCUCGGAAGAGAUGCGGCAUUACGAGCUAUUCGUAGAAGCGGUAUCCUUUUAAAUUUCGUACGGGAUGUAACCCCUAUGCCACACAAUGGUUGCAGACCCCCUAAAAAAAGACGGGUGUAGAAAUAAACAUUGAAGAGAUUUCAAGAGAAAUAAAUGACUCAAUGAUCUGACAAAUAAUAUUACUAUGGUUCGAGAGAAAGUAAAAGUAUCUACUCGGACACUGCAGUGGAAGUGUGUGAAUCAAGAGCAGACAGUAAGCGUCUUUAUUAUGGGCGCUUUAUUUUGUCUCCACUUAUGAAAGGUCAAGCCGACACAAUAGGCAUUGCGAUGCGAAGAGUUUUGCUUGGAGAAAUAGAAGGAACAUGUAUUACACGCGCAAAAUCUGAGAAAAUCCCACACGAAUAUUCUACCAUAGUGGGUAUUCAAGAAUCGGUACAUGAAAUUUUAAUGAAUUUGAAAGAUAUUGUAUUGAGAAGUAAUCUUUAUGGAACUUGUGACGCGCUUAUUUGUGUCAAAGGCCCGGGAUAUGUAAAUCCUCUUGCCGCCUUCUGUGGAAAUCGUUGAUAAUACGCAGCACAUAGCACAUAGCUAGCCUAAUUGAUUUGUCUAUUGGAUUACAAAUCGAGAGGAGUCGAGGAUAUAAUAUAAAAACGCCAAAUACCUUUCAAGACGGAAAUUGUUAUCCUAUCGAUGCUGUAUUCAUGCCUGUUCGAAAUGCGAAUCAUAGUAUUCAGUCUUAUGGGAAUGGCAAUGAAAAACAAGAGAUCCUUUUUCUAGAAAUAUGGACAAACGGAAGUUUAACUCCUAAAGAAGCACUUCGUGAAGCCUCCCGGAGUUUGAUUGAUUUAUUUAUUCCCUUUCUCCAGGCAGAAGACGAAAACUUACCUUUAGAGAACAAUCAAUACAAGGUUACUUUACCCUUUUUUACUUUUCAUGAUAGAUUGGCUAAACUAACGAAAAAGAAAAAAGAAAUCGCAUUGAAAUCGAUUUUUAUUGACCAAUCAGAAAUGUCUCCCAGGAUCUAUAAUUGUCUCAAAAGUCCAAUAUACAUACAUUAUUCGACCUUUUGAAUACGCGUCAAGAAGACCUUAUGAAAAUUGAACACUUUCGCAUAGAGGAUGUAAAGCAGAUAAUGAGUAUUCUAGAAAAGAAAUAGAAAAGCAUUUCACAAUUGAUUUACCGAAAAAAAAAAAAUUUAAAUCAAUUGAAUUUAGUGCAAUUUUUCUAUUCUUUAGAAAAAAAAAAAAAAAAAACGCGAAAAUUGAAAUGGCUUUGCACCUUUAGACCCGUCUAUAUAUUCAGACCGGAAUUAAAUUGAAUAGAAGUAUCUAGGGAGAAUUCACUUUGACUUUGAAGUGACUACUCCCUAGAUACACACGUCAUGAUAUUUUACAAUUGAAUCAAUUUAAAAAAGACCUAAAGUUAGGGAUUUUUCAAUAGGUAAUGUUGCUCCAAUACCCAAGCACAAGGCCACUGCGGUACCAAUCAAAAAGACGGUUGUCGCUACGGGACGGCGAAAUGGAUUUUGGAAUUUAUUAACAUUUUCCAAAAAGGUACUGUUAAUAAUCCCGUAGGUACUGAAACCAUUAAAAGAACACCCAACAGCUUAUUGGGUACUGUACGAAGUAUUUGAAUACGGGAAAGAAAUACCAUUCGGGUAAGAUUUCCAAAGGAGUUGCAAAUGGAUCCGCGGGUUCACCAAUCAUUGAUGGUUCUAGAACCGCUAAGCCUACGGUACAUGCAAUAGUACCUAGAAUUACUACUGGAAAAAUAUAUAAAAGAUCGUUGGGCCAUGCGGGUUCUCCAUAAUAAUUAUGACCCAUACCCUUAGCCAACUUAGCCCUUAAUACAGGAUCAUUCAAGUCAGGUUUUUUUGUUAUUGGGAUAGGCGAAUUCUUAUAGAUCCAUCCCCCCAAAGAACCGGACAUGAUAAUUUUUCAUCAUCCGGCUCGAGCAAGAAUCAACCAAACUAAAAGGAUACAUAUAAAAAAAGAAAUAGAUAAAAAAAGAAAUAUAGAUUUUCGAAAAUCUAUAUUUUACGCAUAUCGGGAUGAUUCUAUAUGUAAAAUUACCGGAUUCCGUUUUACGAAGUUGCAACUAUCAAUUGCAAGGAAUUCGGUUCUUACAGGUGUAUGCUCCAUACCCAAGUAGGCUUACAAAAUUGAUCAUGAUCAAGAGCUUUCUGGGUCGUCUCAGCCCUUGUGAUUCACCCUUAUCCAAAAACAACAAAAAAAAAAUUGAGCUGAUAUUUUUCUUUUUCGCGUACAAAGGAUUUACUUGUUACUAAUAUAGUAUAGCCGCUGCUCUUCUUUAGACCCCUUGUUUCACUCCGAUAGUAUCAUAAAUCGGGAUCGGUGCAGAAGAAAUGAAUGCAUUUCCAUACUAUUAAGUAAGUAAUCUAGAAUCUAGCUAAACAUAAUCUAGAUUAUGCCACAUCGCUUAUUCUACUGGAUCUUACGGAGCCUGCUCAUGCGCGGCAUGCUUGGGGCUGAUCAUAGAAAAGAUUCUUUUCAAUCGAACCAACCUAUCCUCUCUAUGGGGUGCCGGUUGGAACAAAGACACAUUUGGUCGCGAAUUCCAAUGUAGCAGAUUAAAGACAUAUUUCUGCACGGCCCAAUCAAUAGUUCAAGUCACACACUCCCAUAAUCCAUUUUCUCUUCGGAGAAUUCCCGUCAACUAUUCAUUUCAUUCAUGUCAAAUAAAAAGUCCAAUAUUAUGGAGUUGAGGGGAAAUUUCCAACUCCAUGUCUUAUUCUUUGUCAAUAAUCCAUAUUGUAGCAAUGAAAUAUUAUUGUUCCUCCCCCAAGCAAUAAGAUAAAGGGUUGAUUACAAAUCGCUAUAAUCUAGAUUUUGUAUAAUUUUAUAAAGGGCCAGAAAUACCUUGUUUACGUAUCAUUAGGAAAUGCAUUAACAUAAAUACGGCAGUAAGAAGAGGUAAUACAAAAGUGUGUAAACUAUAAAAACGAGUCAAAGUGGACUGUCCCACACUAGCACUUCCGCGUAAUAACUCUACCAAAGGCGAUCCUAUUACCGGAAUUGCUUCGGGCACGCCUGUUACAAUUUUUACUGCCCAAUAUCCAAUUUGGUCCCAAGGUAAAGAAUAACCUGUUACACCAAAAGAUGCGGUCAAUACAGCCAGAACCACACCUGUAACCCAAGUCAAUUCGCGGGGUUUUUUAAACCCCCGGUGAGAUACACGCGAAAUACGUGCAGGAUUGUCAUUAGGACCAUCAUACUUGCCGACCAUCGAUGAACCGAUCGAAUUAACCACCCGAAGUUAACUUCCGUCAUUAUGUAUUGAACAGAGGCAAAAGCCUCAGUAACGGUCGGGCGGUAGUAAAAAGUCAUAGCAACCCUGUAGCUACUUGUACUAAAAAACAAGUGAGCGUAAUUCCUCCCAGACAAUAAAAUAUGUUGACAUGAGGAGGAACGUAUUUACUAGUUAUAUCAUCUGCAUCGCCUGAAUCUCGAGACGUUCUUCGAACCAAUCGUAGACUUUAUUGAGAUAGGUAAACCAAGAGAACUCCCCUCUGAGAACCGUAUAUGAGAAUUUUAUCUCGUACGGCUCAACAAAACCACCCCAAUACUGGUAUGGAAUAUAAAAUUGGAAACUUCUUAAUUUUUUGAUUCAAUCUUAUCUAAAAAUACGAAAGAAUCAAAAUAAGAAAGCUUUUCUUGUGGUUAUAAUUAGAAUGCCAAAAAAUCAAGUCGACGCGCUUAUCUUUAUGUUGAUCGUUACAGGCCUCUUGAAUCUUCUAUUUACCUAUUUCAUUUUCUUUGAUUUGUUAUUUUGAGUUGUAUGUAAUGCAGCUUGACUUUUGUUUCUUUAUUAUUGAUAGGAAUUUUCUUGUUAAGACCCUAUGAAUCAAUUGAAACCUCAGAUUCAUACUAGAACCACGAUGAUUCAAUAAAACCUUCAAACUAAGUCCAAAGAUUCCAUGAGUAAGAAUCCUUGGAUCAUCAUUUAUUCAAGUUUGUGCUUGAGUAAAAUAAAAGCAGAAAUGGGGAAUUGAAAGAAGAAAAAUCUUGCAAUUGCAAAUUUUGUCUUUGGAAAAUUUUUUGAAUCCGGCCAAGGGGUCUGAAUAUUAAGUAUGAAUCAUAGUUCGAAUACUUCGUGAUCUAUUUCAUAUAUUCCGUGCUCCAGAUACUCGAAUGAAUAUCCGACGGAGUAAAGCCAUCUCGAUCAGACGACAGAUCUAUGCUCUGUACUAUCAAUAGGAUCAAUUCGAACAAGUCGCACACUCAUAUUCCGGAAAUACAGAAAUAAAAAAUUCGCGGUCGAACUACCAAUCAACUAAAAUCAAAAUCCGAUACCUAAAUGCUUAUUAAAAGGUAGUAUUUUGUGAUUCUGUAAAUUUCAUUCUAAUUCAGUGAAAUUCCGUCCAGUAAAACGGACGAAUUAUAAAUCUCCAAAAUAAUAGAUAGGAAUACCGCAAAUAAAGCCAUUGCGACUCCCAUCAAAGGAGUAGUUCCCCAUCCAGGAGCUACUUUACCAUAUUCCGAAUUCAAGGGUUUCAACAAGCCCCCUGCAGAAGUUCUUUUGGACGAGCUCUAGAACUACCCUCAACUGUUUGUGUAGCCAUAAAUCCUAUUUUGUAUUGAUUGAGAUCUGUUGACUUUGUAUACCAUUCCGUGUAAAUAAACGAUCUUAUCAUGGAUCCAGUGUGGUCUUGAAAUUCUAUAAUAAUGGAAACAGCAACCCUAGUCGCCAUCUCUAUAUCUGGGUUACUUGUAAGUUUUACUGGGUACGCCUUAUAUACUGCUUUUGGGCAACCCUCUCAACAACUAAGAGAUCCAUUCGAGGAACACGGGGACUAGUUGAAGUAGAAGUAACGGGCCUCCCGAUAUUGGGAGGCCCAUUACUUCAUUGAGAUAAAAAAAAAAUCAUUUUGUUUUUUUAGUUGGAACUUUAGGCGGUUCUCGAAAAAAGAUAGCGAAAAAAAUGAUCCCUAGAGUCGAGACUAAGAGGAAUGUAUAAACCAAUGCUUCCAUAAAUUCGAUCGUGGUUUCCAAUUAUAGCUUCCAUACCUGUUUAUUGGGAUCAUCCCCCGGAUUAAAGAAAAAAAGAAUCAAAAAGGGCGGCGAUUUAAAUCCAUAUUUCUCCAGUACCUUAUACCUUAUUUUAAAUAAAAAGCACAAAUCGAAAAUAGAAGCAGAAGCGAGAAACUAAAAUAGUAGAGCAAUGCUGCAUCAGACUACUUGUCUUCUUGUAGUUGGAUCUCCAAGUUUUUGGAAUACUCCAAAUUCCACUUGAGCGUCCAAAUCCGGGUCAAUACCAGCAAAAACAUCUCUGAACAAGGUUCUAGCACCAUGCCAAAUGUGUCCGAAGAAGAAAAGCAGAGCAAAUGAAGCGUGUCCAAACGUAAACCAGCCCCUUGGGCUGCUACGAAAAACACCAUCGGAUUCAAAGUAGCACGAUCUAAUUCAAAAAUUUCACCCAAUUGAGCACGUCUAGCAUAUUUUUCACAGUAGCAGGAUCACUAUAACUCACGCCAUUCAGCUCGCCACCAUAGAACUCAACGGUUACACCUACUUGUUCGACACUAUACUUCGAUUCUGCCCUUCGAAAAGGAACGUCGGCUCUAACAAUUCCAUCUCCGUCUACCAAAACAACUGGAAAUGUUCAAAAAAAGUAGGCAUACGACGUACAAAAAGUUCACGCCCUUCUUUAUCUCUAAAUAUAGGGUGUCCUAACCACCCGACAGCUAUUCCAUCCCCGUUAUCCAUGAACCCGCUCUGAAUAAUCCCCCUUUCGCAGGAUUAUUCCGAUGUAAUCAUAAAAAGCUAAUUUUUCAGGAAUUUUAGACCAAGCUUCUGAUAAACUUUGAUUUCGGCUAGUCCAGCACUGACUCUUCGAUAUAUUUCUUGCUGAAGUAUCCCUGAUCCCAUUGAUAACGGGUGGGACCAAAUAAUUCGAUGGGGGUAGUUGCUGACCCAUACCACAUAGUUCCAGCAACAACAAACGCUGCAAAAAAGACAGCAGCGAUGCUGCUGGAAAGAACGGUUUCAAUAUUGCCCAUACGUAAUCCUUUGUAUAAGCGUUGUGGCGGGCGGACGCUGAGAUGGAAUAAGCCUGCUAAUAUGCCCAAUGUCCCUGCCGCAAUAUGAUGAGAGGCUAUCCUCCUGGAACAAAAGGAUCAAAACCUUCCACACCCCAUGCUGGAUUUAUAGAUUGUACCUUUCCAGUUAGUCCAUACGGAUCAGACACCCAUAUUCCAGGACCAUACAAUCCUGUUACAUGAAAUGUCCCAAAACCAAAGCAAGCCACUCCUGAGAGAAAUAAAUGAAUUCCAAAGAUUUUAGGCAAAUCCAAAGAACGUUUCCUGUACGGUCAUCAACAAAUAUUGCUAGAUCCCAAUACACCCAAUGCCAGAUAGCUGCCAAGAAGCACAAUCCGGAAAACACAAUAUGUGCCCCCGCUACACCUUCGUAACUCCAAAUACCCGGAUUCGUUACUGUCCCCCCUGUAAUACUCCAACCACCCCAUGAAUCGGUUAUUCCUAAACGAGUCAUGAAGGGUAUAACGAACAUGCCUUGUCUCCACAUUGGAUCAAGAACUGGAUCGGAGGGAUCAAAAACAGCUAAUUCAUAUAGAGCCAUUGAACCGGCCCAACCCGCAACCAGGGCUGUAUGCAUUAUAUGGACAGCAAUCAAACGACCGGGAUCAUUCAAUACGACGGUAUGAACACGAUACCAAGGCAAACCCAUGGGACUACCCCUUUAUUAAUAAAAAAUAGACACUAUGUAACUUUAUUGCAUUGAAAAAAACUAUGCUAUGUACCCCUUUUUUCAGGGGAUUAUCUCGAAAAAGGGAUUAAUAUUAAUAUUUGUUCUAUUCUUUUAGUAAUAAUGGAAGAGUUCGGUUCGUAGGAAAAAAGAGAAGCAGAUCUAUUCUAUACUCGAUAAGUACCAAUACGCAAUGGGGGUUGAUUCCCUUUUCUAUGAGCGAAUGUAUCCAUAUUUGGUCAUCAUUCAAAAGACUUAUUCGUAAGAAUUUUCCUUUAUUUUAUGAACUUCGUCAAUCUAUGUAUAAACUAAGAUAACGGCCACUAGUAUUAAGACAAGAAGCCCAUUAUUACGCUUCCACAUCAAAGUGAACUAGAGUACUUAAUUCUUUUUUCUUUCAUUUUAUGCCUAUUGGUGUUCCAAAAGUACCUUAUCGAAGUCCCGGGGACAAGCAUCCAUCUUGGGUUGACAUAUAGUGCGACUUGUCAGAUCUAUUGGGUCAUAUGGGAUUUCCCCGUUCUCUCCCCCGAUCGAGAUAUCCUCUGUUUCGCCCAUAAAAUUGAUUGAAUUAUCAAAAAUUUGUAGCGUGAAAUGCAAUGAAGUGCAAUUAGAUCUAUUUCGUGAGGAAGCAUCCAGAUUAAUAUUAGCAAGAAAUCAAUUUUAUGGUCGUCUUGGCUGGACCAAUAAAAUGAGGUAUCCAGGCUCCGUUUAGAAAACCCAAUUGGUAAUAUAUCUAUGAUUAUUACUUAUAUCAUAAACGAUUCCUUUAUUCGAAAAGCGAUCUCAAACGUUAAUCAACGGAAUGCUAAAUAUGAUGAAUAUGUCAAAUAUUUGGCGGAAGACAUGAAAGAAAUGAAUUAAAAAAGGGGUAAGUCAUAGCAAAAAAGAGACGUGGUAUUGGGGGCAUUUGUCCUAUAUGUGCAAAUCAAAAUCGGGCGAAUCCUUACUCGGAGUAGAGCCUAAACCUAAAAAAAUGGAAGAAGCCCAUUCAAUUCAGGAACAAGAAAAUGGCAUCGUGAUUUUUGGAUCGGAUCUCGAUGAAAAAUACAUCAAUGAAAAGUUAGUUCGAUAAGUUUAGUGAAUUCUUUUUUAUAUUAGAAUAUUAUAGGUCUAGGAAACCGGCUAAACUCAGCGUUCUUGAAAACCGGAAGAAAAGCCCCUCGAUAGAAGCGAGGAAAAAAGAAAGGAAAGGGGCUAGGAGCUACACAUUGAUUCGUUUUUCGCAAGUUUUGUUGAACCGUAUGCAUCAAAGAUGCCUGUACGGCUCCGAAGGGAUACUGUUUUAUCCUAAUCAACCGACUUUAUCGAGAAAGAUUACUUUUUUAGGUCAAUGGUUGAGAGCGAUAUCUCGAAUCAACUUAUUGGUAUUAUGGUAUAUCUCAGUAUAGAGAACGAGACCAAGGAUUUGUAUUUAUUUAUCAACUCUCCUGGCGGAUGGGUAAUACCCGGGAUAGCAAUUUAUGAUACUAUGCAAUUUGUGCGACCCGAUGUACAGACAUAUGCAUGGGAUUGGCCGCCUCCAUGGGGUCUUUUCUCCUGGCCGCCGGAGCAAGUACCAAACGUCUAGCAUUCCCUCACGCUUGGCGCCAAUGAGUUUUUUAUUUGAGAGAAAAAAGAAGACUAUGCCUUCGCCAUAUGAAUUCUUAAUAUUAAGUAAUAAUAGCAUGGCACUUCGAAUUCGAUAUGAAAAUUGUUAGUGUUUUUUUUUCAAAAUAUUUGAUUAUGUAUCGAAGCAGUAGUAUGAGAUAAAGAAGGGGUAUUCCGAGUUUAUCUUACCUAUCGGAGGCCUAUUGCAGCGCCACACACCUUUUUCACACCGGAAGGUUCUUAACAAUUAACAAUUCACAAGAUUUAUGGUAUGAAAGAGUACGAAAAUAAAAAAAAGAAGAUUAUUUUUGAUUUAUUUCUUUUUUUAUUUUGAUUGAAAAAAAAAAAAGAAACUUUGGGAUUGCUGAAUCACAAAAGAAAUAAAUAUAUAAAGCAACGGAGCCAUCAUAGUAUUUUUGAACUCCUCAAAAAAAAAGAAGGGUGGUAAUUGGGUCAUUUACCCAUCUGGGUAUAAUAGAACCCCCUUUUUAUCCUUGUUGAUGAAGGGUAAAAAGCAAAUUCCAUUGGCGAGCCAUAUGGGUGUUUCCGUAUUUCGGUGUUUGUUUUGUUUUUAUUCAAAAACAAAAAAGGCAGCUCAUAAUGAGCGAGAUAGAGGAACCUUUUAUUAUGUUAUAAUAUAUCAUCAGGGUCAUGAUCCAUCAACCUAUUGGCGCUUUUAUGGGGCACAAACGGGAGAAUUUAUCCUGGAUACGGAAGAACUACUGAGACUGCGCGAAAUCCUUACAAUGGUUUAUGUACAAAGAUCGGGCAAGCCCUUAUGGGUUGUAUCCGAAGACAUGGAAAGGGAUACUUUUAUGUCAGCAACAGAAGCCCAAGCUCAUGGCCUUGUUGAUCUUGUAGCGGUUGGAUAAAACAUAGCAGUCACUUCUUAAGGGUUUAAUAUUCUAUUAAACAGAAGAAAUUCAUAAUCAUCCGGUUAGGAUCGAUCUAAACCAGCCCAUAAUGGAUAAUUCAGCAUGCCAACUAUUAAACAACUUAUUAGAAACCCAAGACAGCCAAUCAGAAAUGUUACCAAAUCCCCCGCUCUGCGGGGAUGUCCUCAGCGCCGAGGAACAUGUACAAGGGUGUAUGUGCGACUCGUUUCAAUCAUGGGCUGAGACAAACCAAAAGAAAGAAACCCUUUUUUAAGUAUCAAUGAUCAGUACCUGUGAAUCGGAUAGAAUAGAAGAAGAAGAACUCCAUUCACUAUCUAAAAAAAGAUCGAUCUAUCAUAUCUUUCUAUUGUGUAUGAAAUUUAUGGUUUCCACUGGCGCAAUUCCACCACCUCAAUUUGCAAUUAAUUUAAGGUGAGAAAGAAUUCCCCAUUGGUAACAAAUAGUUAUCCAUUAAGCGGGGGAAAUACUAUAAAAAAGCAGAAAGAUUAUCUUUCUACUCUGCAAGAACGGACUAACAAGGUCAGCUACCCCACCAAUCUUCAUAAUUAAAUACCGUUACUGUAUAAGGUCUAUCUCGUUAUGAAAGACCUAUUACUAUAAAAUUCAUGGGUAGAGCCGAAGAGUGGUAACUGUACAAGUUACCAAUAGAAUUGAUUAAAUGAAGGAAGUGGCUCCGGUGUAUAGAGAGGGCCUCACCGUUUAAGAAGUAAUCAUAGAGACGACGGAACCCACAAUUUCUUUAUCUAUUUACUACUUUCGUUUUUUUUUUUACUAUUUUCUUUCCAAUGCCUCGACAAAAGGUAAAAGCGUGGUCGGGAAGGUUAGAGUAGCAAAAGCCAUUGGAAUUUUGAUUUUAUAAAUUGGAAGAGUCCGUUUUGUUAUUAAUAGACUAGGAAAGGGGAAAAGAAUAACUGAAAGAAAGGAAAUCAAUUAGUUAUUCAUCAAAGUUUCAUUUAUUCAAUGACCAGAAUUAGACGAGGAUAUAUAGCUCGGAGACGUAGAACAAAAAUGCGUUUAUUUGUAUCAAGCUUUCGCGGGGCUCAUUCACGACUUAGCCGAACAAUUACUCAACAGAAAAUAAGAGCUUUGGUUUCGGCUCAUCGCGAUAGAGAUAGGAAAAAAGAGAUUUUCGUCGUUUGUGGAUCACCCGAAUAAAUGCAGUAAUUCGCGGAAAUCAGGUAUCCUAUAGUUAUAGUAGAUUAAUAUACAAUCUGUAUAAGGCGCAGUUGGUUCUUAAUCGUAAGAUACUUGCACAAAUAGCUAUAUCAAAUAGGACUUGUCUUUAUAUGAUUUCCAAUGAGAUUAUAAAAUAAGGAAAUUGGAAGGAAUCCAUUAUAAUUUUAAACGGAGUUCUCUGGAGAAUGAACUCCAGUAAGAGGAAGGUAGAGUAGAAAAUUAAUUCUAAGGAAGAAUGCUUUUUUAUGUUGUUUUAUUGAGAGAGGUUUACUGAUUACUAAUCCGUCAUAUCGGUAAAAUAAUCUUACGGCACGGCUGCUUCACAGAUUUUUGAACAAAACAAAGAAAAAUCCAUUCUUCGGAUUUGAUUUUAUUUUGAUUGAAGAGUAAGCCUAUUUUUUUCUGGUUCUAAGACCGGGAGGUCUAGCGGUCAACCCACUUCUUUCAAAUUGUUUCUCAUUAUUAAGAAAAGGUAACGAAGAUAAAAUACGAGCUUGUUUUAUAGCAAUAGUAAUUAAUCGUUGUUCUUUUAAGGUCAAUCUAUUCACCCGUCUAGAUAAUAUUUUUCCUUGUUCACUAAGAAAUCGACUAAUUAAAGUCAUGUUUCUAUAAUCAAUUCGAUCCCCCGAUUGGAUCGGGGGCAAACGCCUACGAAAAGAUCGCUUGGAUUUAAGAAAGAGUCGCUUGGUUUUAUCCAUAAUUUGUUUAUUCCUUAUCCCUAAAAUACCAUUUCGAUGAAAUCAAAAAAUGAUUUAUAGAAUCAAUUAUAGGAUUUGGUUUGUCUAGAUUUAUUUAUUUGUUUUUAGUAAAAUAUAUGAAAUAAUCUAGAUAUAUAUCUAGAUUAGUUUUUCAUGUCCCUUGGAAGGGUGACACAAAAGCACGCGGCUUGACUCUAUCUAUUUUUUAUCUCCCCAUGAAGUGUAUGCUUGUAACAAUAGGGACAGAAUUUUCUCAAUUCCAAUCGACUGGGUGUAUUGUGUCGAUUCUUUUGAGUAAUAUAUCUGGAAAUACCCCUUGAUUCCUUAUUAACACCGUUUCGAACACAACUAGUACAUUCCAAAAUAACCCUUACUCGGACCUCUUUACCCUUGGCCAUGAACCUCCUUGGGGUUUUUGAUUCACCCAACUUUUCUAUUUUCCGACCCGCAACGAAUAAGAAGCACGGGACAAAAAAAUAGAAGUUGCUAACCACUCAAAAAAAACUUAUGAAAUAAAGAUUUUAUGCAAUCAAUAUAGUAAAUAAAUAGGAAAUCAAAAUAAAAAAUAAUAAGUAAUACAAGAAUUUCUAACUAUAUUGCUAAAUCGCAGUCCAGUAUUUCAUUUAAGGAUCUUGUAGUGGAGGAUACUCUUACCCUAGCCAUAUUUCGAUUUCCGUUUUCUUUUACCUGUCUAUUUGCUUUUAACUGGAUAAUUAAUAAUUAAUUUAAUCGGAGCCUGAACCCGGGUUUCGCUGAGGUUGAAGCCACCUUUUUUCUUUCGCUUUCCUUCUUUCUAAUUGUAAAACAAAAAAACGAAAAGAGGGGAAAGAGAGAUUAGUCACAAAUAUUUGAUUCUAGCUCGAAUCUUCUUCACCCCGUUCCAGUUCAAUAACUAGAAUGAAAAAAAAGGAAAUGUCAAUGCGUCGGGGAAUAAACGGUUGAUUUCUAUCAAUAACCCUGCUAAAGACCCGAACCAUAGAGUACUUAGUACCGGUGCCACGGAAAGAUAUGUUUUUAGAUCUCGCAUUGAAAAUCCUCCUUCUUUUUUGUUUUUGUAUUCCCUAUUGGAAUAUAUUAUGGUAAGAGAUGUAUAUGUAGUUAAAGGCCCACUUGUAUUUGUGCGCGGAAUCCCUAAUUCAAAUUGAAAUGCGCAAUGAUUCGGUAUAUAAGAUUUGAUUUUCUUUUUUUUUUUUUUCUUAAAACAGAAAAUGGGUCACUUUACACCUGCGAAUUCCCAAGAAAAAUAAUAAUAAAUUAUUAUUAUAUGGUAUAUGAUAUGAGACCAAAAACAAGAAAAGGCAAGAUCCAUUUUGCAUAUCACUAGAGGGAAUAAAAAAUAAGGAUGUGGAAAACAAGACAGGGAUUCUUUACAAUGAUAUUGUAGGCCAAUUGAAAGGGAUGUAGCGCAGCUUGGUAGCGCGUUUGUUUUGGGUACAAAAUGUCACGGGUUCAAAUCCUGUCAUCCCUACCAAUUACCGCUCAGAGCAGCAGUAACGCGAGAUCUUUUUUUUUUUUUUUUUUCGAUCGAUUUCAUUUUGACAUACAUAAAUUUCUAUUUUAUGAUAUAUGAUAGUAUACACAUACAAGAAUUGUUGGGGUAAAAAAAGAGAAUCUCCUUAUUUCCAGCCUUUUUCGUUGUGAUAAGAAAGCGCUCUUAGUUCAGUUCGGUAGAACGUGGGUCUCCAAAACCCAAUGUCGUAGGUUCAAAUCCUACAGAGCGUGAUUCCGCUCUUGUCGUCUUAGAUCUAAAACCAUACACACUGAACUGAAAUAAUUGAACAGCAAUCUGAAUUUGACCCUGACCUCCCCCUCGGAUAAAUAAAGAAGGGAGGGGUCAGUUAAAAAAAGAGAUGUUAAUUAAUCAAAGGUCCAACUGAUCACCACGUCUGUAUGUAAAUAGGCGGUUACGAAUAAUCCAGCCAAAGUAAUAGGAAUUAGACCUAAGACGAUUCCAAAUAGAAAGACUUCAAUCAUUUGAAUUUGAUUUUAUUUUUUUUGAAUUUGAAAGGUUAAAAAGAGAGGUAAUAUCUAUUCCUAAAUAUUAAUCCGCCUGCCUAGGAAUCUCAAUAACCAAUAAUUGGUAAUUAACGUGGUACGGUAAGGAACUAGACAAUAUGUGGAAUACCACAGAAGGGUUUCUUUUUAUGAAUUAUUCAUUCAAUUAAUUUCAAAUAAGUCCUAUCUUACUCAGACCAAUAAAUAGAGCCGAGGUUAUAGUUAAAGCCGCUAGUAGAAAACCAAAAUAACUAGUUAUAGUAGGCAUGACAGAGCUAAAGGAAAUAUGUUCUUUUUAUACAUAUGUUUAUAAAGCACUUCCCUAAGUUUCCACUUUUGGACGAUACGAAGAUAAGCAAAAAUGCUCUACCCAUUGAAAGAAUACCUUCAAUUGAAAGUUUUGAUUCUUCAAGUAUUCUAGAAGGUACUAACAAAAAUGAGUGGCAGGGAUAGAAAAAGAAACCAAUUCAUCGUCUUUUACAGCGACCCAUCCCACGAUUCCGAAUCAACAGAUUGAGUGGGCAACUCUUGAAUCAACUAAUAUUAAAAAAAUACUAAAAACUAUGCCAUGUAACUUUGAGGAAUCGCUUCUAUUUUGUAUUUUAAUUUUUUCUUUUUUAUUGUAUCAAAUACAUUUUCGACUAAAGAGUGACCACCUUAUAAUACUUUUUUCUUUACUUUAAUACUUUAAAUAACCUUUGCUUUACUUUUUUCUUUUUUAUUUCUUUUUUACUUUAUUUUAUUUACUUUAUAUUUUUAACUCAUUAGGUUCAGCGGUGGGUUCAUUCCCAUAAUAUCUCAAAUGAGAAGAAAAAAGGUAUCGCACAAUCAGAUCACUCAAAAAAGAAAAUUUUGAUUUCGGUUCAAUUCGAUUCUAAAACUAAGUAAGAACUCCUAUUAUCUUUUCCUUUAUAGAUUUUCUAUUUUGUCUUUCCAUAUUAUCUAUAAAGGAUAAAGCCCACGCGUUGUAGGUAGGUCAAGAAAGAACCCUUGGGUCUAAUACAACAACGCGGGCAUGACAAAUCUAGAUUAUUAGAAUUAUUUUAGGCAUUUUUCGCGUUCUGUUAUUUUUAUCGAAUCCUAUCUCCCGCCGUUACUUGUUUUUGGACAACUAAACAAUUCCUUGAAAAAAAAAAAAAGGAGGAGAAUUACAACAAAAAAUUCUACAUCUACGAAAAGGAGAUUUGUAGAUCUCAUAUCGAAUUGAAAUGGGGAAAUAUGAUAAUCUUCAUCAUGAAUUAUUAGAAAACAAUCCGUAGGAUUCGCAUUUUCCUUUAUUUUGAAUUUCGAGUCCGAAGACAAGCAUGGAAAUGGAGACAAAAGAACCCGCAGACUACAGAAAUUUUAGUAAUUUCUAUUGAAAUUUUCUAUUGAAUAGUACGAAUAGUACAUAGUUAUUCCUCUCAUGUCAUUCUAAGUUCUUUUCUUCUUCUAGGGAACAAGUUAACACUUGAGCCAUUAGUCUAAGAGCGUUUCAUCUCUAUCUCUAUACUGAGUAUGCUCUGCACUUGCCUUUGAGUAAGGAUCUUGUGCAUCAGAAAAGUCCAAAUUCAGUGAAUUUCCAUUUCAUUUACUGAUAUCUUUUACGGAAUCGAUCGCCCUUUGACUGUACAAGAAUAUGUCUUUGGGUGGUAUUGUGGGAGAUGGUUUUCUUCUACUGGUUUGAUAUCUAAAGGAUUAGGGUAUAUCGGCUGGAACCCCGAACUUGCAGACUACUGGACCAAAGAACAGUUUCAAACUGUUGUAGUUUUGGAAUAACAACGCCACGUACUCUAACCCCGACUGGUAUCAUCAUCAAUAAAAACUUUCUUCCUUGAGGAAGGAUUAUAUUUUUUCACAAUCAAAGUUCUUUUCCUAUACACUUUGUAAGCUUUGCUUGUAUUUGAAUAACCAAGAAAAAUACCAACAUUAGAUUUUGGAUCAAAUUUACCAAGAUUAUCUUUUGUGUUCAAAAUAAAACAUUUGCAUCCAAAAACUUUGAAGUAACUAAUGUUGGGUUUUCUAUCUUUCCAAAGCUUGUAGGGAGUUUCAUUGAGGUAAGGUCUAAUCAACACAUGAUUUAAAACAUAAUAAACGGUGUUGACGGCUUCAGCCCAAAAAUAUUAUGGCAAUGCAUUCUCAUUUAACAUGGUCCUAGCCAUUUGUUGGAUAGACCUAUUCUUUCUCUCAACAACUCCAUUUUGUUGUGGAGUCCUAGGUGAUGAAAAUUUAUGUUUGAUACCAAAAUCAUUACAAAAAUUCUCAAAUGCAUGAUUUUCAAAAUCUCCACCAUGAUCAUUUCUAAUACAAGAAAUAUGAUAUCCCUUUUCAUUUUGAACCUUUUUACAUAAAACUCUAAGUGCAUCAAAGGUUGACCUUAAUAGCUAAGAACAAUACCCAUGUGUAUUUACCCAACAGGUACGUGGCGUUGUUAUACUUGAACUAUGAUAGUGCUAGACUAUCCUUUGGACCAGUAGUCCGCAAGUUCUAGUUUCCAGCCGAUAUACCUAUAGUUCCUGAGAUAUAAAACCUAAAAAAGCAAAAGCCAUUGAUCAAGAUACCACCGGAAAAUAGGUCACCUCUAACCUUCAAAGAGGGUGAAUGUUGUGAGAAAACAGUUUUAUUUUAAAUCGAUUUUAUAAAUAAAUCAGGACUUUUCUGAUACACAAGAUCCUAGAAAAUAGAGAUGAACGCUCUUAGUUUAAUAACUCAAGUAUUUUCUUCGUUACCUAAAAGAAGAAGAGAGACUUAGGAAGCCAUAGAAGUUUAAGAAAAACUUCGAAAUAUUAUUGAUGGCAAUAUGAAUUUUACAAAGACGAAAGAGCUCUUAAAUAGAGCUGGAAAGCUAAAAUAAAGAUAAAGAUAAAGAUAAGACAGGACCCUUAUCUUUUCUUUAAGCAUAAAGCAAAAGCAAACCAUAAUUAAAGCAAAAGCAAAAGCAUAAAAGUUAAAACACACUUUAGACAAGGUAGAACCCAUGUCUUUUAUUGAAAGCAGGAAAAACCGAGAUUCCCGGAUGACUCUGUAGCCAUGUGAGGUGAUUAUGGAGUUGAGGGAAAUCUAGAUGGGGACACGUCACCGGUUUCAUUUUCAUAUUCUUCUUUUGCUCUUUGGAUCUCUUGGUAAAUCAGGAUGUCUUCAUCUAAUUCGGGGCUUGUUGGUCAUUGUGCUUUAGUUGGAGUGGACGAAGAGCUUGGUUCAAUAACGGUGUACUGAGUGUCUUGGGUCUGUAAUAAGGAUUGAAAGUUUGCCCAAGGGUCUUGAGCGUCUUGGAAGAGAACAUUGGUGUAGUUAGGCCUUUGUUCUCGAACAAGAAUGCCAUUAGGACUGGAACUGGAUCCUGGAGUACAUAUUUGAGUGCCUGGUAGAAUCUCAAGAGUGUGGGAAGGACCAAUGGAGGUGUGGUGAAUGUCUGUUGGGACAGGUUGGACAUUGUUGAGUUCUAACAAGUAGGCUUUGAGAGUGGAGAUGAUUGUAGGAUCAUGGUCAAGAGGGAAAGGAUGAGGGAAAGUUUUCCAUUCAUACGCCAUGUCCUGUGUCCAGUAAUCUUUUGUCUGAGGAUGUUGGAAAUAUGUCCUAUGGACUAUGAAUACCGAAGUAAACAUAUCUGCUUCUUGAUCUGGAAUUCGAUCUAACUGAUGAAAGUUAGAUAAAUUUUGUAAUUGUUUAUACCACCAAGUGAGUGGUGAAAACCAUUCAAGGAGUGUCCAGAGAAGUGUGGGUGCAUGAUCAGGUGUGGAGAUAUGCCUAAGGGUUGGUCGGACAAGAAGAAUAAGCUUUGUAGCAAACAGGACUAUGAGACACCACAUGUAUCAUAACUCAUCUUCAGAGAUGGUGAGACUGGGAACACUGGUGAAACCAGAGAGGAACAUAUGUUCUAAGCAUAGAGAGGGAAACCUUUUGAGUUUGGUUCUAUGAACAUUCAUGAAAUACCUGAAAAGGAAUUUCUUUACGAAGGUUUGGAUUUGGAAAGAUGUACGGAAAGUGAGGUUGAGAGGAAAAGCUUUUUGAGUGAGAGCCUUGAAGGGGAGUGUGCGAUACAUGGGUAUUAUUGGGAUGGUUUGGAUGGAAGAGAUGAGAGCAGGGCUUUUUAUAGAUGGUCGGGUGAGGAAAUCAGGGAAAAGAUUUUUAUCACCUUUGAUGUGUUGGACUGUGUAGUCAUACUUUGCAAACCAUGUCUUUAAGUUGAGCAAUUACUUGUCAGGAAGCAAUUUGUUCUUCAAGUCAAAGAUCUUUGGAAAAGAACUGUUGUCCAUUCUGAUGAGGAAAUUGUGGCUGAUGAGAUGAAAUUCAAACUUCUUGAUUCCAUAUUUUACCGCAAGAAUUUCCUUGUAAAUCACAUGAUAAUUCUUUCUGAAUCUUUGAACUGAUGAGAACCAUCAAGGGAAUACCAUUAAAGCUUCAAGUGAUCCUUUGCACAUUCAUGGAGGCCCAAUUACAAGAGCUAGAGCCAAAAAGUUGCAAGCUGCAUUAAAUGGAUUAAUUGAGAAAAUAUGGAUUGAAAAUGCAAUUCAAGAUGCAAGACAUCAUGAAUUGGGCUUAGAGAGAAGACAAGGCAUUGUGGGCAUUAUUCAAGCUAUUGGGCAGCCAAAUACACAAUUUGGAUCAAAUGUAGAAAGGGCAAAUUAGGAAUAAAUCUGGUAUUGAUUGAGCUAGAAUUAAGCUAUAUACUGUUGGAAAGAUAAUUAAGUUAGUUUUCCAAUGCAUUUUACAGAGCUGGAUUUGGAGUUCUCUAGAAGUAGUUAUGAUCAAUUUAUUACAGCUUGUUCAGGCUUGGGAAUUCAAACGACUCCUUUGAUUAUUCAACUUCAUGGAGGGUUGUUCCAAUGUUUCCAUUUGUAUUUUUAGGAUCUUGGGUUUCUUUUAGCCUAUUUAAACUCAGCAACCUUGCUAUGUAUAAUAAUCAAGAGAAUAAUGUUAUUUGAAUUUGAAGAUUAUUCUUUCUUUGGUUCUUUUGAGAACUAGUGAACUUAUCAAGAAUUUGCAUUCUUGUAGUGUUCCAAAUUUAGAUUUAUCACUCACCUCCUCAUCUAUUUCUUGAGUGUGGCGUCAAUAUCAUUCUCUAUACCUUUGAUUCAUGCUUUUCUUAAGCAUUGCGUCAAGGUUUUGUUUGUCAUAAAUCAGUUUAGAACUUUCUUGGGAAGUUGAAACUACAAUUUAAGUGAGUUUCAAAGUUUCGUUGUGGGAUUCACAUCAUUUGGUAUCAGAGCUAGUUUCUAAUCAGGUUUGAAUGUCUUAUUUAUUUUGAUUAUCAAAAAAAAUAAAGAGAGAAAAAAAUGUACAAAAAAAAAUUACAAAAGGAUUCAAGUAUUUCUACUUUCAUCAAAUUGAAUUUUAGUUAUUCAUUCUCCUUGACAUUGUUUACACACAAUAUCAAUUGUGUUGCUUCGCUUGCUUGCUUUCCUUUCUUCAAUUUCCUUUUCAUUCUUUGUGUUCUCUUAAUUUCUUUUCUUUGUUGUCAUAUUUGGUGUGCCACUUGGGUUUUUUUCUUGAUUGUGUUUAUUGAGUGUGGUAAAAGGCAAAAGUUUGUGAGAUCAUUAGAGGGAAAAAGCCAAUUUGUGUGUUAAACACGAGAGUUAAGUGACAUCAAAUUGAGUGAAACACGUGAGGGAGUGUUGUGAGGUCUUUUUGCUAACAUUCUUUUCAGAUCACAAAUAUGUCAAAAGAUCAAGAAGCUAUAGACCAAUCAAUUAUGCUCAAGGCCAUGCAACAACAAUUUGAGCGCAUGAAUCUGAUGUUUGGAGAGAUCUAUGACAAAUUGGAGAGGCAAGACACUGUCAUAGCCAAUCUACAUAGGGGGUAACAACCAAUAGCUCCUAAUGUAAGAGGUAAUCAAGGGCGUGCUGCCAUGGGAGAAGAAGAUGGUGAUGACUUAGAAGGGCACUGUUGACAUGCGUGGAAGAGAUCAUAGAAGGGCAAGACGUAUAGAUCAUGAUUUGGGGAGUAUCAAACUAAAAAUUCCUUUUUUUUCAAGGUAAAAAUGAUCCGGAAGUUUAUUUGGAGUGGGAAAAAAAGGUGGAGCUACUAUUUGAUUGCCACAACUACUCUGAGGAGAAAAAGGUAAAACUAGCUGCUGUUGAAUUUACUGAUUAUGCUAUUAUUUGGUGGGAUCAACUUGUUUUGAGUAGAAGAAGAAAUCGUGAAAGGCCUAUAAACACUUGGGAGGAGAUGAAGGCCAUUAUGAGGAGGAGAUUUGUUCCUAGUCAUUAUUGUAGGAAGCUGCACCAAAGGCUUCAAAGUCUUACAUAAGGUUCCAGAAGUGUGGAAGAUUACCACUAGGAGAUGGAAAUAAUCAUGAUUCGAGCCAACAUUGAAGAAGAACGAGAGGCCACUAUGGCAAGAUUUUUACAUGGUUUAAAUCAAGAUAUUGCUAAUGUGGUUGACUUGCAGCACUAUGUAGAGUUGGAAGACAUGGUUCACAUGGCCAACUGAAAAAGAAAGGUUCCACUAGAACCAAUUUGGGUUCAUCUUCCUCAUGGAAGUCAAAAUGGAGCAAAGAUGAAAAGGCUAUUUUAAAGCCUAAGAUUGAGCCAUUCAAGGAUCAUAAAGAGGGAGGCAACCAAAGCAAAGGUAAAUCUGAUUCCCAACACUCUAGAAAUAGAGAUAUUAAGUGUUUUAAAUGUUUGGGGACAGGUCAUAUUGCAUCUCAAUGCCCAAAUAAGAGAGUAAUGAUCUUGAGGGAUGAUGGAGAUGUUGAAACCGAGAGUGAAUCAGAUGAUGAACCUAUGCCACCUUUGGAGGAUGCUAAUGAUGGCGUAGAGUAUCAUGUUGAUGGUAAAUUGAUGGUUGUUAGGCGUGCUCUCAACUUGCAAGUAAAAGAAGAUGCAGAGGUACAACGUGAUAACAUCUUUCAUACUAGAUGCCACAUCAAAGAUAAGGUAUGUAGUAUGAUAAUUGAUGGUGGAAGUUGUACUAAUGUGGCUAGCACUAUUUUAGUUGAAAAAUUGAAUUUGAAAACUUUGAAACAUCCUAGGCCAUAUAAGCUACAAUGGCUGAAUGAUUGUGGGGAAGUCAAAGUAAAUAAACAAGUGCUGGUUUCAUUCUCUAUUGGGAGAUACAAGGAUGAAGUUCUAUGUGAUGUAGGGCAACCUUGGCAAUAUGAUAGGCGUGUGACACAUGAUGGUUACUUAAAUAGAUAUUCUUUUGUAAUGAAUGAAAAGCAAAUCACUCUUGCACCAUUAACACCUAGGCAAGUGUAUGAGGAUCAAAUGUCAAUACAAAAAGAGAGUGAUACAAAAAAAGAAAAUGAGAGUACAAAAGAGAGAUUGAGAGAAAAACAAGUGAAACGAAAAAAAAAAAUAUUGUUAAGAGAAAAGAGAGGCAGCAAGUGAACUUGUUUGCAAAAGAGAGCGAGGUUAAGAGGGCUUUCUUUUCAAAACAGCCUAUCAUUAUACUUUUGUGCAAAGAGGCUUGUUUACAUACUAAUGAGCUUAACUUUUCUUUGCCUAGUGCUAUUGUGACUCUUUUGCAGGACUUUGAUGAUGUGUUUCCAAAUGAAGUCCCUAAUGGUUUGCCACCUAUUAGGGGAAUUGAGCAUCAAAUAGACUUAGUCCCUGGAGCUACCAUUCCUAAUAGACCCGCAUAUAGAAGUAACCCUGAGGAGACAAAGGAGCUUCAAAGGCAAGUUGAAGAACUCUUGGCAAAGGGAUAUGUGAGGGAGAGCAUGAGUUCAUGUGCGGUACCAGUUUUACUAGUGCCCAAAAAGUAUGGCACAUGGAGGAUGUGCGUUGAUUGUCGUGCAAUUAAUAAAAUCACUGUAAAGUAUCAACAUCCUAUUCCUAGACUUGAUGACAUGCUUGAUGAAUUGCAUGGUUCUUGUGUGUUUAGUAAAAUUGAUCUUAAAAGUGGAUAUCAUCAAGUUAGGAUUAGAGAGGGAGAUGAGUGGAAAACUGCCUUUAAAACAAAAUAUGAUUUAUAUGAGUGGUUAGUGAUGCCAUUUGGGUUAUCUAAUGCACCUAGCACUUUUAUGAGGUUAAUGAACCAUGUUUUGCGUGCUUUUAUUGGUAAAUUCGUAGUUGUCUAUUUUGAUGAUAUUUUGAUCUAUAGCAAAGGCUUAGAUGAACACAUUGAACAUUUGCAAACUGUAUUGACUGUUUUAAGGAAGGAAAAGUUAUAUGCUAACUUGAAAAAGUGUUCCUUUUGUACAAAUCAGAUUGUUUUUCUUGGUUAUGUUGUAAGUGCUAAAGGAAUUGAGGUUGAUGAAGAGAAGGUAAAGGCUAUUAAAGGGUGGCCUACACAUAAAAGUGUAAGUGAGGUAAGAAGUUUUCAUGGUUUGGCUAGUUUUUAUAGAAGAUUUGUGAAAGAUUUUAGCACCCUUGCUGCACCAUUGACUGAAAUUGUGAAGAAACAUGUGGGAUUUAAGUGGGGUAGUGAACAAGAAAGGGCAUUUAAUCUAAUCAAGGAGAAAUUGGUUUAGGCACCAUUACUCGCUUUACCCAAUUUUGCUAAAACUUUUGAAAUUGAGUGUGAUGCUUCAGGUAUAGGUAUUGGAGCUGUUUUGAUGCAAGAAGGGCAUCCAAUUGCUUAUUUUAGUGAGAAAUUGAGUGGAGCAGCCCUAAACUAUCCUACAUAUGACAAGGAGAUGUAUGCAUUGGUGAGAGCAUUAGAAACUUGGCAACACUAUCUUCUACCUAAAGAGUUUGUUAUACACACUGAUCACGAGUCCUUGAAGCAUUUGAAAGGGCAAGGUAAGUUGCAUAAGAGACAUGCCAAAUGAUUUGAAUUUAUUGAGCCAUUUCCCUAUGUGAUCAAAUACAAAAAAGGUAAGGAGAAUGUGGUGGCUGAUGCAUUAUCUAGAAGAUAUGCACUUAUCUCUACAUUAAAUGCAAAGUUGUUAGGAUUUGAGUACAUUAAAGAAUUAUAUGUUAAUGAUCCUGAUUUUGCUAAUGUGUUUAAUGCUUGUGAGAAAGUUUCAUUUGGUAAGUUCUAUAAGCAUGAUGGGUUCUUAUUUAGAGAAAAUAAAUUGUGUGUGCCUAAUAGUUCUUUGCGUGAAUUGCUUGUGCGUGAAGCUCAUGGGGGAGGUUUAAUGGGACAUUUUGGCAUUGCAAAGACUUUAGAUGUUUUAAAAGAACACUUCUUUUGGCCACAUAUGAAACGUGAUGUUGAAAGAAUAUGUGAGAAGUGUAUCACUUGUAAACAUGCUAAGUCUAGAGUUUUACCCCAUGGAUUAUAUAACCCUCUACCCAUACCUAGUGAACCUUGGGUUGAUAUUUCUAUGGACUUUGUUUUGGGUUUACCUAAGUCAAAAAGGGGAAGGAUUCUGUUUUUGUUGUUGUUGAUAGGUUUUCAAAGAUGGCACAUUUCAUUCCAUGUCACAAAACUGAUGAUGCAACAAACAUAGCUAAUUUAUUUUUCAAGGAAAUAGUCAGAUUGCAUGGAGUACCAAGGAGCAUAGUUUCAGAUCGAGAUGCUAAGUUCUUGAGCCACUUUUGGAAAACUUUGUGGGGUAAGUUGGGUACUAAACUUUUGUUUUCUACUACUUGUCAUCCACAAACUGAUGGACAAACUGAGGUUGUAAAUAGAACUUUGUCUACUUUGUUGCGAGCCAUUAUUCAAAAGAACUUGAAAACUUGGGAAGAAUGUUUGCCACAUGUUGAAUUUGCUUACAAUAGAACUGUCCAUUCAGCUACUAAAUUUUCACCAUUUGAGAUUGUAUAUGGUUUUAAUCCAUUAACUCCUUUGGAUUUAUUACCUUUACCUAUUGAUGAGCGUGCUAGUAUGGAUGGUAAAAAGAAAGCUGAAUUUGUCAAGCAAUUGCAUGAGAGAACGCGACAACACAUAGAAAAGAGAACUAAACAAUAUGCUACUCAAGCCAACAAAGGACGUAAGCAAGUGGUUUUUCAGCUUGGAGAUUGGGUGUGGGUGCAUAUGAGAAAGGAGAGGUUCCCAGCACAAAGGCGUUUCGUGCUUCCAAGGGGAGAUGGUCCAUUUCAAGCGGUUGCACGGAUCAAUGACAAUGCCUACAAAUUGGAUCUUCCUGGUGAGUAUAAUGUAAGUGCUACUUUUAAUGUUUCUGAUCUUUCUCCUUUCGAUGUAGGUGACGAUUGGAGGACGAAUCCUUUUGAAGAGAGGGGGAAUGAUGAGAACCAUCAAGGGAAUACCAUUAAAGCUUCAAGUGAUCCUUUGCACAUUCAUGGAGGCCCAAUUACAAGAGCUAGAGCUAAAAAGAUGCAAGCUGUAUUAAAUGGAUUAAUUGAGAAAAUAUGGAUUGAAAAUGCAAUUCAAGAUGCAAGACAUCAUGAAUUGGGCUUGGAGAGAAGACAAGGCAUUGUGGGCAUUAUUCAAGCUAUUGGGCAGCCAAAUACACAAUUUGGAUCAAAUGCAGAAAGGGCAAAUUCGGAAUAAAUCUGGUAUUGAUUGAGCUAGAAUUAAGCUAUAUACCGUUGGAAAGAUAAUUAAGUUAGUUUUCCAAUGCAUUUUACAGAGCUGGAUUUGGAGUUCUCUAGAAGGAGUUAUGAUGAAUUUAUUAUAGCUUGUUCAGGCUUGGGAAUUCAAACGACUUCUUUAAUUAUUCAACUUCAUGGAGGGUUGUUCCAAUGUUUCCAUUUGUAUUUUUAGGAUCUUGGGUUUCUUUUAGCCUAUUUAAACUCAGCAACCUUGCUAUGUAUAAUAAUCAAGAGAAUAAUGUUAUUUGAAUUUGAAGAUUAUUCUUUCUUUGGUUCUUUUGAGAACUAGUGAACUUAUCAAGAAUUUGCAUUCUUGUGGCGUUCCAAAUUUAGACUUAUCACUCACCUCCUCAUCUAUUUCUUGAGUGUGGCGUCAAUAUCAUUCUCUAUACCUUUGGUUCAUGCUUUUCUUAAGCAUUGCGUCAAGGUUUUGUUUGUCAUAAAUCAGUUUAGAACUUUCUUGGGAAGUUGAAACUACAAUUUAAGUGAGUUUCAAAGUUUCAUUGUGGGAUUCACAUCAUUUGGUAUCAGAGCUAUUUCUUGAGUCAAGGUUUUGUUUGUCAUAAAUCAGUUUAGAACUUUCUUGGGAAGUUGAAACUACAAUUUAAGUGUGAGUUUCAAAGUUUCAUUGUGGGAUUCGCAUCAUGAACUGUCCACUUGCAUGACCGCAAUAGGACUCUAAGUCACUGAUCUUUUCCAAGAGGAUAGCACUCCAAAAGUCAUCACUAGCAUCUGUCUGGAGAAUGCGUUGUCCGGUAGUGGGAAUUUUGAGUGGAGGAGGUGACUGGGCUAUCUUUUUGAGCUACUUCACAGUUUUUGUCUGAUCUAGACCCCAUGGUGGAGCCAUCUUUUUGAGCAUGCGUGAUAAUUGACUAGUGUGGACCGCAACUUUGGGAAUAAAGUCUCUGACAUAAUUGACAAUUCCAAGGAAUUGUUGAAUUUGCUUUUUGGUGAGAUCUAUGUCGGGAAACUUUAAUAAUUCUGCUGCAAUGUGUGGUCCUAGAUAGUAGUGGCCAUCUUUUAAGACCAUGCCAAGAAAGUCAAUAGAUUCCUUUCCUAUGUUGCUUUUCUUUUCAGAAAGCAUGAUGCCAUGUGUCUGUACGAUUUCCAAGAAAUCUGAAAGGAGUUGUUGAUGUGUUUGGUGGUCAUGGGAAAACAACAGGAUGUUGUCAAUGUAGAUCAAAGCAUGAUGGAGGAUCGGAGAGAAGAUCUUAACCAUUGCUUUUUGAAAUAAGGAUGGAGCAACUUUGAUACCGAAGGGUAGAACCGUCCACUGAUAAUGAGCAUCAGGGAUACAGAAGGCUGUUUUGGGACGGUCUUCUGGAGAAAUACCACGUUGCCAGAAACCAGCUUUAAGAUCAAACUUUGAAAAUACCUUUGCACCUUGAAGAUGAAUGAAUAGGGACUGGAUCUUGGGGAGAGGAAAUUUAUCAUCUUUAAGGAAAGCAUUAAGUGGCUGGUAAUCAAUCACUAAUCUCUUUUUUCCACAAACUAAUUCAAAUCAUUUUUCAACAUAGAAAGCUUGACAAGCCCAAUCAGAAGUAGUAGGUUCUAUGAGGCCUUGCCAAAGCAAUUGAGUGCAUUCAUGCUUGGCGAGAGUGAGAUUAGAUGGAGGCAUCCUUGGAUGUGUGGCUUUGGUAGGAUUGACAUCUUCAUUGAGUGAAAAAUUGUGUAUUUUUCCAAAGUGGUGAUGGAUGGGUGAAAUAUGAGUGAUUUUCAGGACAAAGUUCUAGAAACUUUUAGGAAAUGGAGGUAUAAGGGGGAGCUGUAUCUGACAAUGUAUAUAGACAAAGAACAUCUGUAUAUGGCAUAAACAUUUGUUUGAAUUUAAUGCAUGUUGGCGUAAUGAAAAGGUUUUUUACCAGUUGGAGGAUAUCAAAUCCGAUGAGGAGAUCUUUGUCUGGCAAAUAUGAACCAACAAUCUUUUGCCAAAUGAUACAGUUGGGGAAGAACUGGAUACCAAUGGGUUUUUUGGUAAUGAGAGAAGUUUCAAAAACUUUCCAUUUGUAUGGUUGAUUGUUGUCCCAAUAGUCUGGAGGAAGGAUUUUAAGAUUGAGCAUACUGUGCUGUGCGCCAGUAUCAAGGAAACCAAUAACUGAGACAUGUUUAUGGAAUUUAGAAGGGAUGACUGAAAUUUUUACUGAUGGACCAGGAAGUGUGGGGCGGAUGUGGUUAAUCUCUUGAAUAGUGGAGAUUACAGAAAUGUCAUCUGGAUAUGAAUCUGUUGAAUCAGCAAGGAUGAAGGCUGUAUGAUCAUCUUUCUCGGAUUGUUCUGAGAAGAUGGAUUCAACUUCUUCGUUGUCAGAAAGGAUAGAAGAUUGUUGUAGGUGCUGAAUGAGACGAACAACUUUUGCUCACUUAUUUGGGCAAUUACGGGCAAAAUGUCGGCGUUUCUUACAAAUAAAGCAACGAUUGUGUUUCUUCUGUCUGAACUAGGAAGGAUCCUUUUUUUCUGAAGUAUCUGUAAGGCUUCUUUGGUUUUUUGGAAGAGGAUAUGUGGAAAUGCUUCUGAAAGUGUUUCUUUUUUGUGGUUGGACAAGUGCACUUUUUGUCAUCUUUGCACUGGAUUUUGAGGUAGGGUUUUUUACAGGCUGAGGCAAAGGGUUUUUUGUGUUCAAUAAGAUCUUUGAAGAAAUCUUUUUGCUCACAGAUCUUAUCAAGGCAUAGCAUAGUUAAUUGAAAGAUUUUUCCAAGGGAGACAUUUGCUAUGUUGAGGUUAAAGGCUGUCAACUGUCUUUGAAGCUCUGGCUGAAGCUUUGGCUGAAGCUCUGGUGGUAAAGAUGCAGCAAAGACAUGCUUUAAGGAUGGAUCAUUGAAUCCAUUCAGUUUUUAAUAAAGCAUGCUCAUCCUUUUGUAAUGCAUUUCCAGGUGAUGUCGUUUAAGAGAACAACAUUUCAUCUGGUGAUAUUCUUUUCGAGAUGCUUCAGUUGAUGAGGCUGGUUCUCCAAUAAAUUGCUCAUAAAUGACUGCAAGAGCUAUAGAAAUGGUAGUUUGAAUCAAUUGGAGUUGUCUGUAUUUGCCUAGACUUUCAAACCAAUCUCGUAGAGAUCCAGUGAAUCUGGAACAAAACUCUCGGAGAACAUUAUGAGAUUGUGCAUUGGGACUGGUCAUUUGCACAUCAAUCCAUGCAGUAAAUUCUUGAUGUCGAGCUUGCCAUUUUUGACGAGGGAUGUCAUCAAAUGUAAACCAUUGGGAAGAAGAUGGUUUGGAAGACUUUUUAGAAACCGGAGGGAUAGAGUGAGCCGGUUCUGUUUGUGAGCCUUGGACAUCAUCAUUAUCAUCAGAAGAUUCUUCGGCAAUAGGAGUGUCGACAACAGAAGUGGAUGUACUAGGAUCUUUUGUUUUUGUGGCCAUGAGAAGACCAGAAAUAUCUGCAUAUUGAGACUCUAAGUCUGAAGACGUUUGUUCAGAUGAGCUGAAAUUAUCUGUGGAGGGUAAACUUUCUUCUGAGGUUGAAUCGGAGUCAUUGUUUUGCGUGUCAAUCUGUUGAUAAUGGUAUUGGUAAGCUGGAGCUUUGUCUUUCUUUGGAGGUUCAAGAGUUGCUUUAGGAGAGUCUUCUGGAACUUGAAGAUCUUCCUUGGGUGGAGGUUUUGAGAUCUUGACUUUUGAUUUGGAUCUUUUUGGUGGUGGAACGGAAGGAAUAUUAUGGAGAUGGGAGAGACCAAAGAACUGAUCGUAAGUUGAUUGUUUAGAAGGAGUGUAAAAAGGCUAGUAUGAUGUGAAUAGUGGUGCUGGUAUAGGUAUGGACUGUGUUUUGGUGAAAAGGGAAGGUUGUGUUUUGUCAGCAUCAAUUCUAGCCAAUUCUGCCUUCAACUGUUUGAUCUCUGCUUCUUUCUUAUUGAAUGCGGGACCCCAAAUACGAUUGUUAAUCAUUGUUCUGAGAUCGAUAUCUAAUUCAGAGAUUAUGUUUUACAGAUUUGAAUAAAUCUGUUCAAGUUGGGAAGUGAUUGUGUCCACCUUUGUUUCUGUUUGUGACACCUGUGAUGCCACUUUGUCAGUCUUUUUACCAAGAUGGUGGAGAGCUUGAUUCUGAGCACUGGCAUUUUGGGUUUGCCAGUUUAGCACUGCUUCAUACUGUUUUGGUGCUUCUGGUGCUCCAGAGGUUGUGAUCGGUGAUUGGACAUAGGGUUGAGAAACAACUUUAGUUUGAGGGUCUGUGUGCCUUUCGAGUGGAGGAAAGGAUUCUUGGUAUGAUUGGCUAGAAGAUGAGAACAUCAAGCAUGACUUGAUUUUUGGUUGAGUAGGAACAAGCUUAAAUGAGGAUUCUUGUUGGAGUUGCCUGAGUGCUUUUUUGUAGAUGGGUAAUGGUUGAUCUGAUUCUGGAUCAUCCGGAGGUCUUGGGAGAUAGGGCCGACAUGGAGUUUUAGGAGGAGAAGGUUUUUUCUUUCUCCUUCGUCUCAUGAGUUCAAAGUCUUCGUCAUCAUCUGUGUCAUCCAAGUAGGGACAAUCUGGAUUACACAUAUGGGCUUCUGGAACAUCCUAUAGGAAAUGACCGUUGACUUUGUCAGGGCACACUGGAUACCCUUCUGAGGAAAAUCCAUAGAUUGAAGAUUUGGCUCUUGUCCAGUAGAGACUGCAGUGAUCAUAGUAGUAUAAGAGAGCCGUGGAGGACCUGGGCUUGGUUUAUCAGGAGUCUGAAAAGACAUCUUGACUUGUCCGUCUGAUCUUCUUUCAAAGAUGGCUUGGGACGUCUGGACAGGUUCUGAAUUCUGAUGGAAUUGAUCAUAAUUAGUAAGCCAUUCCAAAGGCAUGAGUUGAAGUAACUCUUGCUUUUGAAUUUGUUUGGGGAUCUGGAUGAUGGUUGGAAUUGUAUCUAUGUCUACAAGAAUCAUCAGUGCAUCACUGGUUGUUUGUGCAGUUGGGAGAUAUAGCGUAUGAUUUUGCAAUCGAUACACUAUCUGGUGAUAGAGAGUGGCUAUUUUGGAAGUGGAUAUUUGUUCUGCUCCUUGGAGCUGGAUUUGGACUUUCAGUGUUGUGGGAAGGUUGGGAUCUUCUAGGGACAUGUUGAAAUUUGGGUAGAAGGUUAACAAGACACUUCCAGCAUGGAAAGUGGUUAAAACAGUGCCAAUAACAUCAUGUUGAUACUGUUUGAACCUUGUGUCAAGGAGAGCAAUUUUGGCUGUGACGGGUAAGCCUUUUCUACCAUGUAAAGUGAGGAUAAGCCUGACACCACCUAGGUGAAGGUGUGUAUAUCCUUCUCGUUUCUAAUUGGUUACGAGAUCUGUUGGUAUAUCCAUGGUGACAUAUUGUUCACUUUGAGAGGCUUGGAGAGCACACGGAUGUACUCUUUAAGAAGAGGUCUUUUGUGGAGAUCAAGGUUCGGAUACUUCGGGCGAAGGAAGUUUUUUGUUUGUAAAGAUGAUAUGGACUCAUAACAGGGAACUGGGAUUCAUUAAUCUGAGCAGAUUCAGGGAUAUAUGAGUAAUCAACAAGAUUUUCUAUUUUUGAGGCGACAUGUUUUUGACAAGAACGAGGUAAAGAAAGAGUAGAAGAGAGAGAAAUAGGAGAGGAUUUUGAUGAAGCUAUUUCUGAUGAAAAAGAGGAAGAUGCCAUUUUUUAUAGAGUUUCUUCUAGGUGUUGAAUAAUAAUACUUGAGAACUAAACCAUGAUACCACCUCUUGAAAAUGUUCGUUUGGCUCUGAUACCUCUUGAAAAUGCAUAAUAUUUACCACUUAGACUAGCUUAUCUAGAAGGUCCAAACAAAUCUAUGUGAAGUAAUUGAAGUGGUUUUGAAGUAGAAACAUGAUUCUUGUUUUUAAAAGAAGUUUUGAUUUGUUUUCCAAAUUGACAGGCUUUACAAAUUUUAUCUUUUUAAAAUCUGAUUUUUGGAAGACCUUUAACCAAAUCAUUUUUCAAAAUUUUUGAAAUCAAAUCCAUGCUUGCAUGACCUAGUAUUCUAUGUCAUAACUGACCAUUAUCCUGCAAUACGGAGAAACAUAUAUCAUUAGUAGAUGCACAAUCUAUAUCAAUAGUAUAAACAUUAACAUAUCUAUUUCCUACAAACAAAAUCUUACCAUCACAUGCAUUCUCAAUAAUACAUUUUGAUUUAUCAAAGAUAGCUUUAUAGCCUUUAUUGACUAAUGCUAAGUACGUUGUGUUUCAAGUUUUCAACCAAACACACAUUUUCAAUAAGACUAGAGGAUACAUUACUGACAUUGCCAACACUAAUGGUCUUUCCUUUUGAAUUAUCUCCAAAGGAUACAUUUCCACCAUUUUCGGUCUUGGUAAAGCUUGAAACAAAGAAUAAUUGCCUGUCAAAUGUCUUAAGCAUCUGUUGUCCAAGUACCAUUUGUUUUUCCUUUUCUUUGAUCCCUGCAGGAGAAAUCUUUAAGUUUUAGGUACCCAAAACUUUUUGGGUCCUUGAGUGUUAGCAAUGGUUCCUUUUGGAACCCAAAUACAUUUGAUUCCAUAAUAUGCAUUUCCCUUAACAAGGCAUCUAUAAUUCAUGUGACCAUUUCUAUUGUAAUAUUUACAAACAAUUUUAUUAUCACUAGUGGAGAUAGCCUAAACAAAGUAAUUUUUGUACUAUUUUUGUUUCAAGUUAGGCUUAUACCCAAGUCCUCCUUUAUCAAACACACAUUUUUGAGAGCUGAGCAAUUUUUCUAAGUUCUUUUGACCAUCUAUGAAUUUUAACACAAUCUCAUUAAGCUCAUUGCUCUUCUUCUUAAGCUCUUCAUUUUCUUUGAUCAAAUUAUCAACAUUUGAUUUUUCAUGCUCAUAUGAGGUACUUUAUUUACCUUUUAAAGAUACAAUCUUAUCAUACAAUAUUUCAUUAACUAAUUCUAGUUCUUUGAUCUUUUCAUUUAGUAAAUCAUUGUAUUUAUGCAAGGCAUCCUUUUCAUUUGAAAGUUCUAGCAUUUUCUUCUUAAGACAUGCAUUUUUCUUACAACCUUUCAUCAUAUCAUUAUGCAGCUCUUUAAAAGCAUCAUACAAUUUGAUGCGAAUCCCACAAUGAAACUUUGAAAUCCAUACUUAAUUUGAAGUUUCAACUUCCCAAGAAAGUUCUAAACAGAUUUUUGACAAACAAAACCUUGACACUCAAGAAAUAGAUGAGAAGGUGAGUGAUAAGUUCACUAAUUCUCAAAAGAACCAAAGGAAGAAUAAUCUUUCAAAUUCAAAUAACAUUAAUCUCUAAUUGUCUUACAUAGCAAGGUUACUGAGCUUAAAUAGACCAAUGAAAUCCAAGAUCCUAAAAAUACAAAUGAAAACAUUGGAACAACCCUCCAAGUAUAGGUUUGUCAAAGGAUGCUUUAAAAGUCUUCACCAACCCACCAUAAUUAAUGCUAUCAUUGACAAACUUAAUGCUAGCCUACCAUAAUUAAUGCUAUCAUUGACAAAUUUAAUGUUAGCCCACCAUCAUUGAUGGUAAACUUACCUUACACAUUGAAAAACUUAAAACAAAACAAACAAACAAAGUUGAAAAACAAAGGAGUCAUUGAAAAUCCCAAGUCUGAACAAGUUGUAAUGCAUGGUCAUAACUCCUUCUAGAGAACUCAAAAACUAGCUCUGUAAAAUGUAUUAGAAAGCUAACUUAAUUAUAUUUCCAACAGUAUAUAGGUUGCACAUUACUUCGGGCUCAAUCAAUGCGAGUUUUAUUCCAAAUUUGACCUUUCUGCAUUUGAUCCAAAUUUUGUAUUUGGCUGCCCAAUAGCUUGAAUAAUGUCCACAAUGCCUUGUCUUCUCUUCAAGCCCAAACUUGAAUUACAUUUUUAAUCCAUAUUUUCUCAAUUAAUCCAUUUAAAGCAGCUUGCUUAGCUCUUGUAAUUGGGCCUCCAUGAAUGUGAAAAUGAUCACUUGAAGCUUUAAUGAUAUUUUCCUUGAAUCUUCACCUACAUCAAAAGGAGAAAGAUCAGAAACGUUAAAACUAGCACUCACAUUAUACUCAUCAGGAAGAUCCAAUUUGUAGGUAUUGUCGUUAAUCCGUGCAACCACUCAAAAUGGACUGUCUCCUCUUGAAAGCAACUUGGAACGCCUUUGUGCUAGGAACCUCUCCUUUCUCAUAUGCACCCAAACCCAAUCUCCAGGUUGAAAAACCACUUGCUUAAGUCCUUUGUUGGCUUGAGUAGCAUAUUUUUUAGUUCUCUUUUCUCUGUGUUGUUGCGUUCUCUCAUGCAAUUGCUUGACAAAUUCAGCUUUCUUUUUACCAUCCAUACUAGAACACUCAUCAAUAGGUAAAAGGAGUUAAUGGAUUAAAACCAUAUACUGUCUCAAAUAGUGAAAAUUUAGUAGCUGAAUGGACAGUUCUAUUAUAAGCAAAUUCAACAUUGGCAUUCAUUCUUCCCAAGUUUUCAAGUUCUUUUGAAUAAUGGCACGCAACAAAGUGGAUAAAGUUCUAUUUACAACCUCAGUUUGUCCAUCAGUUCGUGGAUGACAAGUAGUAGAAAACAAAAGUUUAGUACCCAACUUACCCCACAAAGUUUUCCAAAAGUGGCUCAAGAACUUAGCAUCUCGAUCUGAAACUAUGCUCCUUGGUGCUCCAUGCAAUCUGACUAUUUUCUUGAAAAACAAAUUAGCUAUGUUUGUUGCAUCAUCUGUUUUGUGACAUCGAAUGAAGUGUGCCAUCUUUGAAAACCUAUCAACAACAACAAAAACAGAAUCCUUUCCCCUUUUUGACCUAGGUAAACCCAAAACAAAGUCCAUAGAAAUAUCAACCCAAGGUUCGCUAGGUAUUGGUAAAGGGUUAUACAAUCCAUGGGGUAAAACUCUAGACUUAGCAUGUUUACAAGUGAUACACUUCUCACAUAUUCUUUCAACAUCAUGUUUCAUAUGUGGCAAAAAAAAGUGUUCUUUUAAAACAUCUAAAGUCUUUGCAAUGCCAAAAUGUCCCAUUAAACCUCCCCCAUGGGCUUCACGCACAAGCAAUUCAUGCAAAGAACUAUGAGGCACACACAAUUUAUUCUCUCUAAAUAAGAACCCGUCAUGCCUAUAGAACUUUCCAAAUGCAACUUUCUCACAAGCAUUAAACACAUUAGCAAAAUCAGGAUCAUUAACAUAUAAUUCUUUAAUAUGCUCAAAUCCUAGCAACUUUGCAUUUAAUGUAAAGAUAAGUGCAUACCUUCUAGAUAAUGCAUCAGCCACUACAUUCUCUUUACCUUGUUUGUAUUUGGCAUGUCUCUUAUGCAACUUACCUUGCCCUUUCAAAUGCUUCAAGGACUCAUGAUCAGUGUGUAUAACAAACUCUUUAAGUAGAAGAUAGUGUUGCCAAGUCUCCAAUGCUCUCACCAAUGCAUACAUCUCCUUGUCAUAGGUAGGAUAGUUUAGGGUUGGUCCACUCAAUUUCUCACUAAGAUAGGUAAUCAGAUGCCCUUCUUGCAUCAAAACGGCUCCAAUACCUAUACCUGAAGCAUCACACUCAAUUUCAAAAGUUUUAACAAAAUCAAGUAAAGCAAGUAAUGGUGCAAAAACUAAUUUCUCCUUGAUUAGAUUAAAUGCCCUUUCUUGUUCACUACUCCACUUAAAUCCCACAUGUUUCUUCACAAUUUCAGUUAAUGGUGCAGCAAGGGUGCUAAAAUCUUUCACAAAUCUUCUAUAAAAACUAGCUAAACCAUGAAAACUUCUUACCUUACUUACACUUUUAGGUGUAGGCCACUCCUUAAUAGCCUUUACCUUCUCUUCAUCAACCUCAAUUCCUUUAGCACUUACAACAUAACUAAGAAAAACAAUAUGAUUUGUACAAAAUGAACACUUCUUUAAAUUAGCAUACAACGUUUCCUUCCUUAAAACAAUCAAUACACUUUGCAAAUGUUCAACGUGUUCUUCUUAACUUUUACUAUAGAUCAAAAUAUCAUCAAAAUAGACAACCAAAAACUUGGCAUCACUAACCAUUCAUAUAAACCAUAUUUUGUUUCAAGACAGUUCUCCACUCAUCUCCCUCUCUAAUCCUAAUUUGAUGAUAUCCACUUUUAAGAUCAAUUUUACUAAACACACAAGAACCAUGCAAUUCAUCAAGCAUGUCAUCAAGUCUAGGAAUAGGAUGUCAAUACUUUACAGUGAUUUUAUUAAUUGCACGACAGUCAACGCACAUCCUCCAUGUUCCAUCCUUUUUGGGCACUAGUAAAACUGGUACCGCACAUAGACUCAUGCUCUCCCUCACAUAUCCCUUUGCCAAGAGUUCUUCAACUUGCCUUUGAAGCUCCUUUGUCUCCUCAGGGUUGCUUCUAUAUACAUGUCUAUUAGGAAUGGUAGCUCCAAGUACAAAGUCUAUUUGAUGUACGAGGAAAUUCUUGUGGUAAAAUAUGGAAUCAUGAGUCCAACACAUCAAAGGUGAUAAAAAUCAGAAUGGACAACAGUUAUUUUCCAAAGAUCUUUGACUUCAAGAGUCCAACACAUCAAAGGUGAUAAAAAUCUUAUCCCUGAUUUCCUCACCCGACCAUCUAUAAAAAGCCCUGUUCUCAUCUCUUCCAUCCAAACCAUCCCAAUUAUAGCCAUGUAUCGAUCACUCCCUAGCUAGCAAACCCUGAAUUAGAUGAAGACAUCCUCAUCUACCAAGAAAUCCAAAGAGCAAAAAAGGAAUAUGAAAAAGAAACCGGUGGAGCAACUUUGAGACCAAAGGGUAGAACUAUCCACUGAUGAUGAGCAUCAGGGAUACAGAAGGCUGUUUUGGGACGGUCUUUUGGAGAAAUGCCAAGUUGCCAAAAACCAGCUUUAAGAUCGAACUUUGAAAAUACCUUUGCACCUUGAAGAUGAAUGAAUAGGGACUGGAUCUUUGGAAGACGAAAUUUGUCAUCUUUAAGGAAAGGGGUCCCGAAUUCAAUAAGAAAGAAGUAGAGAUCAGGUAGUUGAAAGUAGAAUUGGCCAGAAUUGAUGCUGACAAAGCACAAACUUCCCUUUUUACCAAAACACAGUCCAUACCUAUACCAGGAUCUUUUUUUCGUAAGAAUCUGUAAGGCUUCUUUUGUUUUUUGGAGGAGGAUUUGUGGAAAUGUUUCUGGAGUGAAUACAGACAACUUCAAUUGAUUCAAACUACCAUUCUGAUAGCUCUUGCAGUUAUUUAUGAACAGAUUAUUGGAGAACCAGCAACAACCACUAAAGCAUCUAGAAAAGAGUAUCACCAGAUGAAAUGUUGUUCUCUUAAACGACAUCACCUGGAAAUACAUUACAAAAGGAUGAGCAUGCUUUAUUACAAAUUCAAUGGAUUUAAUGAUCAGAAAGAUUUCCCUCUCUAUGUUUAGAACACUUGUUCCUCUCUGGUUUCACCAUUGUUCCCAGUCUCACCAUCUCUGAAGAUGAGUUAUGGUACAUGUGGUGUCUCAUAGUCCUGUUUGCUACAAAUUUUGUUCUUCUUGCUCGACCAACCCUCAGGCAUAUCUCCACACAUGAUGCACUGAUGAUCCUUGCAGACACAGAUACAAUUCCAACCAUCAUCUAGAUUCCCAAACAAAUUCAAAAGCAAGAGUUACUUCAACUCAUGCCCUUGGAAUGGCUUACAAACUAUGAACUCCUAAAGCAACCCCUGAACCUCCAAAGAAAGAUAAAGCCCCAGCUUAUCAAUACCAUUAUCAGCAGAUUGAUUCUCAACAAAAUGACUCAAAUUCCAGAUUCACUAGAUCUCUGCGAGAUUGAUUUGAAAGUCUAGGCGAAUACAAACAACUUCAAUUGAUUCAAACCACCAUUCCGAUAGCUCUUGCAAUUAUUUAUGAACAGUUUACUGGAGAACCAGCAGCAACCACUGAAGCAUCUAAAAAAGAGUAUCACUAGAUGAAAUGUUGUUCUCUUAAACGACAUCACCUGGAAAUGCAUUACAAAAGGCCUGGCUACACCAAUGUCCUUUUCCAAGACGCUCAAGACCCUUGGGCAGACUUUCAAUCCUUAUUACAAACCCAGGACAUUCAGUACACCGUGCCUGAACCAGGCUCUUCGUCUACUACAACUCAAGCUCAACGGCCAACAAGCCCUGAAUUAGAUGAAGACAUCCUCAUCUACCAAGAAAUCCAAAGAGCAAAAAAGGAAUAUGAAAAAGAAACCGGUGACGUGUCCCCAUCACCAGAUAGUGUAUCGAUUACAAAAUCAUGCGCUAGAUCUCCCAACUGCACAAACAACCAGUGAUGCACUGAUGAUCCUUGAAGGAGGUGACUGGGCUAUCUUUUUGAGCUGUCUUACAGCUUAUGUCUGGGCCGGACCCCAUGGUGGAGACGUCUUUUUGAGCAUGCAGGAGAGCUAACUAGGGACUUCAUUUGGAAACACGUCAUCAAAGUCCUACAAAAGAGUCACAAUAGCACUAGGCAAAGAAAAGUUAAUAAGCCUCUUUGCACAAAAGUACAAUGAUAGGAUGUUUUGAAAAGAAAGCCCUCUUAAUUUCGCUCUCUUUUGCAAACAAGCUCACUUUUUGUCUCUCUUUUCUCUCAACAAAAUUUUUUUCUAUCUUUUCACUUGCUUUUCUCUCAAUCUCUCUUUUUUUUUGUACUCAUUUUCUUUUUCUGUAUUGCUCUCUUUUUGUAUUGACAUUUGAUCCUCAUACACUUGUCUAGGUGUUAAAGGUACAAGAGUGAUUUUCUUGUCACACGCCUAUCAUAUUGCCAAGGUUGCCCCAAAAGAAUGUGUCCAGCAUGAAUGGGUAUUACAUCACAUAGAACCUCAUCCUUGUAUCUCCUAAUAGAGAAUGAAACCAGCACUUAUUUACUUACUUUAACCUCUCCACAAUCAUUCAGCCAUUGUAGCUUAUAUGGCCUAGGAUGUUUCAAGGUUUUCAAAUUCAAUUUUUCAACUAAACUAGUGCUAGCUACAUUAGUACAACCUUUGCAUUUUCAAAUUCAAUUUUUCAACUAAACUAGUGCUAGCAACAUUAGUACAACUUCCACCAUCAAUUAUCAUACUAUAUACCUUAUCCUUGAUGUGGCAUCCAGUAUGAAAGAUGUUAUCACAUUGUACCUUUGCAUCUUCUUUUACUUGCACGUUGAGAGCACGCCUAAACUAGUGCUAGCUACAUUAGUACAACUUCCACCAUCAAUUAUCAUACUAUAUACCUUAUCUUUGAUGUGGCAUCUAGUAUGAAAGAUGUUAUCACAUUGUACCUUUGCAUCUUCUUUUACUUGCACAUUGAGAGCACGCCUAGCAACCAUCAAUUUACCAUCAACAGGAUAAUCUACACCAUCAUUAGCAUCCUUGAAAGGUGGCAUAGGAUCAUCAUCUGAUUCACUCUCGGUUUCAACAUCACCAUCAUCCCUCAAGAUCAUUGCUCUCUUAUUUGGGCAUUGAGAUGCAAUAUGACCUGUCCACAAACAUUCAAAACACUUAAUAUCUCUAUUUCUAGAGUGUUGGGAAUCCGAUUUACCUUUGCUUUGGUUGCCUCCCUCUUUAUGAUCCUUGAAUGGUUCAAUCUUAGGCUUUGAAACAACCUUUUCAUCUUUGCUCCAUUUUGACUUCCAUGAGGAAGAUGAACCCAAAUUGGUUCUAGUGGAACCUUUCUUUUUUAGUUGCCAUUCCACUUUCAUGGCCAUGUGAACCAUGUCUUCAAACUCAACAGAGUGCUGCAAGUCAACCACAUUAGCAAUAUCUUGAUUUAAACCAUGUAAAAAUCUUGCCAUAGUGGCCUCUCGUUCUUCUUCAAUGUUGGCUCGAAUUAUGAUUAUUUCCAUCUCCUUGUGGUAAUCUUCCGCACUUCUAGAACCUUGUGUAAGACUUUGAAGCCUUUGGUGCAGCUCCCUAUAAUAAUGACUAGGAACAAUUCUCCUCCUCAUGAUGGCCUUCAUCUCCUUCCAAGUGUUUAUAGGCCUUUCACGAUUUCGUCUCCUACUCAAAACAAGUUGAUCCCACCAAAUAAUAGUAUAAUCAGUAAAUUCAAUAGCAGUUAGUUUUACCUUCUUCUCCUCAGAGUAGUUGUGGCAAUUAAAUACUAGUUCCACCUUAAAUAAGCUUCCGGAUCAUUUUCUCCCCAAGUCACGAUCUAUAUGUCUUACCCUUCUAUCAUCUCUUCCACGCAUGUCAACGGUGGUCUGGUCAUCAAAAUUAUCUAGGUCAUCGCCAUCUUCUUCUCCUAUGAUAGCACGUCCCUGAUUAUUUCUUACAUCAGGAGCUAUGGGUUGUUGCCUCCUUUGUAGAUUGGCAAUGGCAGUGUCUUGCCUCUCUAAUUUGUCACGGAUCUCUCCAAACAUUAAAUUCAUGUGCUCAAAUUGUUGUUGCAUGGCUUUGAGCAUGAUUGAUUGGUCUAUAGCUUCUUGAUCUUUGGACAUAUUUAUGAAAAGAAUGUUAGCAAAAAGACUUCACAACACUCCCUCACGUGUUUCACUCAAUUUGAUGUCAAUUACCUCUCAUGUUUAACACACAAAUUGGCUUUUACCCUCUAAUGAUCUGACAAACCUUUUUUUUAAUCACACUUAAUUCUCUCUUUCAAUUCUUUAUUGAACUAAAUAAACAAAAUCAAGAAAAACCCAGGUGGCACACUAAACAAAGAAAAGGAAUUAAACACAAAGAACAACAAAGGAAAUUAAUGAAAAGAAAAUGGUAUCAGACUUUCCUUUUCUUGGACAGAAACGCAAAAGAUGGGAUGACAUAUCCUAGUAUUAGAGCCUUAUCCGUCCUCGAAAAUCCCACGUUUUCUAAACUUCAGUUUUUCCUCACCAAAAUGGUAUGAUUUACGUCUUUCUUCUGUUUUGAUCUCUAGACCUUCAGGAGCAGAGAGCCUUUCUCAUUCAUGGCUUCCACUUCAUCUUCAACUCCUUCCAAUCCUGUUAAUCUUUCUUCUACUCUUUCUUUGCCAAAAUCCUGCACUUCUCAUACCGCCCAUAAGAUUGAAAACCUUGUAGAAUAUUCCUACAUCCCUGAAUCCGCCCAAAUCAGUGAGUCAUCCUACCCUCUCAUCAGCCCUUAUCAGUUGUACAAACGCCCCAGUUCCUUUACCCGAAGUAUCCGUACUCUCAUAUCUACUAGACGGCCUCAACCUAAAGAAUAUAUCCAGUCUUCUCGCCUGGAUCAAUGUGCUCUUCAAGCAACCUCUGCUGAGCAAUAUGUCACUCUGAAAAUCCCUUCAGAGUUAAUAUCCCAUUGGAAAAGAGAAUGUUACACUCAUCUCCAUCUUGGAGGCAUCAGAUUAAUCCUUACCCUUCAUGGGAGAAAAGGGUUACCGGUCACAGCUCGAAUUGCUAUGCUUGAUACCCGGUUUAAACAGUACUAAGAUGCUGUUAUAGGCACUGUCCUCACAACUCUUCAUGCAGGAAGUGUUUUACUCACCUUUUAUCCAAAUUUCAACCUUUCUCUCCAAGACACCAAUUUGCCCACAGCCUUGAAAGUUCAAGUUCAAAUUCAAGGUGCAUAACAAAUUUCUUCUGCCAAAAUAGCCAUCUUACACCAUCAACUGGUCUAUAGGCUUCAAAAUCAUGCCUUAGAUCUACCCACUCCAGAACACCACUCUGACACCCUCAUGGUGUUAGCAGAAUCUGACCAAAUUCCCACAAUCAUCCAGAUCCCACAACAACUUCCCCGUCAUGAGCUUAUCAAGCUUAUGCCUCUUGAAUGGAUCUCCAAUUAUGAGCAGUUCCAUAACAAUACAGCUCCAAUUCAGACAUCUGAAAGAUGGAACAGUCCAAAUGACUUUUAAACCACCUCCAAGUGCUCCACAAGAGCCCCCUCGGCUCUCUUUUACCUAUUCUUCAAUGAUCACAGCUAUUCAAACAGCUCAGGAAGAUCUGCCCAUUACAAGGUUCAAUUCUGACGGAUACCCUAUUUAUCCAGCAAAACAAAAUGGACAUUUCCUAUGGGAUGUCCCAGGCUCCGGCAUGUGUGACCCAAAUUGUCCCUGUUGGGAUGAUUGGGAAGAGGACGAUGAUUAUGCCACCAAAAAGAGACCCAAAAAGAAAAAACUUCCAGUCUCAUGUCAACACUGUGAACCCAAAUCACCAAGAGAUCCUCCACCUCCACCAGCUCCGUUACCCAUUUACUAAACAGAACUCAAAUGGAUUGCAAGGCAUUGCAAACCUGAGAUUCCAUCCCCCAUCCCAAACUCAACACCGAUCGUACAACCAAUAGCUUGUAUGAUGUUUUCUUCUACCUCUUCAGACUACUCUUCCUCCUUUCCUCCAUUAGAAACUCACACAGAUUCCCAACUAAAUGUGGUAUCCAAACCUUUUAUCCCUUCAGCUAUUACCUCAACUGGCCACCUAGAACCUCCCAAACCUUUUGAAUCAGUCCUUAAAUGGCAAACCCAAAAUGCCAGAGCACAUAAUGAUACUUUGUUACAUAUCAAUUCAAAAGUUGAGAAAAUCAGUUUACGAACUGAAUAGAUUGAGACGAAAGUUGACUCCAUUAUUGCACAGAUGUAGCAGAUCCACCACAAUUACUGGAAUGGGCCUUUGGAACUUGGAGGGCAAGAUCUGGAGUUUGAUGGAUGGCAUAGGGACAGUAGUGUCAAUGGACAGUAACUGUUGGUGGAAAAUGACUUGGGACUGAUCACUGUCUGAAUCAUCAGAGGAAUUUUACAGUGCGAACACAGUUUCAUCAGUGGGUUCAUCUUGUUCAGAGAAAUAGAAUUCUAGUUCAUCCUUCUCGGGAGAGUAGUCUAUAGUGGCUUGAAGAUGCUUAACUAGCCGAAUAGAUUUUUCCCUUUUGUUGGGACAAUCUUUGGCAAAAUGACCUUUUCUUUUGCAGAUGAAACAUCUGCUUGAUUUUCUUCGUUUAAAGUCUUUGGAAGAAGAUGACGAUGACUUCUUUCUGAAGAAUCUGUAAGGCUUUCGGGAUCUGCAAGGCCUGGAUGAAAAUUCUGGAUUUUUUGAAUUUCUGAAAAUGCCUUUUCUUCUUAGAACUGCAAUCACAAUCCUUUUUCUUCUGACAUUUGAUCUGCAAGUAAGGCUUUUUGCAAGUACUCCAGAAUGGUUCUUUAUCUUUCAACAGUUCUUUGAAAAACUGUUUCUGUUCGCAAAGUUUGUCAAGACAAGUUUUGGCAAGUUGGAAGAUUUUGCCAAGAGAGAUGUUGUCAAGGGCAAGAUUGGAUGCGGUGAGUUGUCUCUGUAUGUCUGGUUGGAGUUCAUCAAGGAGGGAAGCUAGAAAGACAUGCUUUAAUGUCGGCUCAUUGAAUCCAUUAAGCUUAUAGAACAGCAGGGACAUUCGUUUAUAAUGGAAGUCAAGAUCCUUAGCAUUGAGUGAACAGCAUUUCAUAUUGAGAUAGUCUCGGCGUGUAGCUUCAAAAACUGCAGAAGGGUCUCCAAGGAAUUGAUCACUGGUGGAUGCUGAAGAUUUUGUGUCAGGUUCGGUAUGGCUAUCAGAAACAGCUAGAUUGGAAUCAGAAGUUUGGUCAUCUGUAGUAAGUGAAUGGUCGGCUGUGUGGGCAUUAAACUGGUGCAUGGGUUCUUUAUCCUUGGAUUGAGGAGGAGGUUGGGAUAAAGGAGUUGGUGGAGGUGCUGGUGGUGAUGCCAGUGUAUAACCAGGGGAUUGUUGGCCAGGGAUGGAAAUGGAUGAGUGAUGAAUUGUGAUGGGUCGCGGUUGUGGUUUAGGCUUUGGUGUAAGUUUAGGUGGUGGUGGCAAUGGAUUGUCUCGGAAAAGAGUAUGAGUCAUGCCAAAUAACUUGGAGGGAUCAUACUGCUUGAUGGGGGAAAGCAUAGAGGCAAAUGGAUGAUAAGUUGGGCCGAUGGAAGGGAUAGAAGGUGAUGUGGUAAAAAGGGUAGGUCUUUGUUUUUCAGAUUCAAUAUGAUCAAGUUCAGCUUUUAAGCGUCUGAUUUCCCUUUCCUUUUGGUCAAAUUCUGGGCCAUAAUAACGUUGGGCAAGCAUAGUUCGUAACUCAGAGUCGAGUUGGGUAAUUCUGGACUGGAGAUUUUGGUGGAUCUGCUACAUCUGUGCAGUGAUGGAGUCGACUUUUGUUUCAAGUUGUUCAGUUCGUAAACUGAUUUUUUUCAACUUUGGAAUUGAUAUUUAACAAAGUAUCAUUCUGUGCUCUGGCAUUUUGGGUUUGCCAGUUGAGGACUAAUUCAAAAGGUUUAGGUGGUUCAAGAUGACCAGUGGAGGUUAUAGCUGAAGGGAUAAAGGGUUGGACACAACAUUGCGCUGGGAGUCGGUGUGGGUUUCUAAAGGAGGAAAAGAAGAGGAGUAGUUUGAAGAAGUAGAGGAAAACAUCAUACAAGCCAGUGGUUGGACAAUAGGCGGUGAAUUUGGGAUAGGAGAUGGAACCUUAGGUUUGCAAUGCUUUGCAAUCCAUUGGAGUUCUGCUUUGUAGAUGGGUAAUGGGGCUGGUGGACGUAGAGGAUCUUGUGGUGGUUUGGGAUUAGAGUGAUGACAUGAGACUGGAGGUUUUUUCUUUUUGGGUGUCUUUUUCCUUGAGGUUGCAUAAUCAUCGUCUUUGUCCCAAUCAUCUCAGCAAGGACAAUUUGGGUAACACAUGCUGGAGCCAGGGGCAUCCCAUAGGAAAUGGCCAUUUUGCUUGGCUGGAUAAACAUGGUAGCCGUCAGAAUUGAACCUUGUAAUGGGCAGAUCUUCCUGGGCUGUCUGAACAGCUGUGAUCAUUGAAGAAUAUGUAAUGGAGAGCCGAUGAGGCUCUUGUGGAGCACUUGGAGGUGGUUUAAAAGUCAUUCUGACUGUGCCAUCUUGUCGUCUUUCAAACAUGCUUUCAGAUAUCUGAAUUAGAGCGGUAUUGUUAUGGAACUGUUCAUAGUUGGAGAUCCAUUCAAGAGGCAUAAGUUUGAUGAGCUCAUGACGGGGGAUUUGUCAUGGGAUCUGGAUGAUUGUGGGAAUUUGGUCAGAUUCUGCUAACACCAUGAGGGUGUCAGAGUGGUGUUCUGGAGUGGGUAGAUCUAAGGCAUGAUUUUGAAGCCUAUAGACCAGUUGAUGAUAGAGAGUGGUAAUUUUGGCAAAGGAAAUUUGUUCUGCACCUUGAAUUUGAACUUGAACUUUCAAGGUUGUGGGCAAGUUGGGAUCUUGAAGAGAAAGGUUGAAGUUUGGAUAGAAAGUGAGUAAAACACUUCCUGCAUGGAGGGUUGUAAGGAGAGUGCCUAUAACAGCAUCUUGGUAUCGUUUAAACCGGGUAUCAAGCAUAGCAAUGCGAGCCAUGACCGGUAACCCUUUUCUCCCAUGAAGGGUAAGGAUUAAUCGGAUGCCUCCAAGAUGGAGAUGGGUAUAACCUUCUCUUUUCCAAUUAGAAAGCAAUUAGGAGGGUAUUUCCAAAGUGACAUAUUGCUCAGCAGAGGUUGCUUGGAGAGCACAUUGGUCUAGGCGAGAUGACUGGAUAUAUUCUUUAGGGUGUGGCCGUCUGGUAGAGAUCAGGGUACGAAUACUACGGGUAAAGGAACUGGGGCGUUUAUAUAACUGGUAAGGGCUGAUGAGAGGGUAGGAGGACUCACUGAUUUGGGCUGAUUCAGGGAUGUAGGAAUAUUCUACAAGGUUUUCAAUCUUAUUGGUGGUAUGAGAAGUGCAAGAUUUGGGCAAAGAAAGGGUAGAAGAAAGAGUAACAGGAUUGGAAGAAGUUGAAGAUGAAGUGGAAGCCAUGAAUAAGAAAAUCUCUCUUUACUCCUGAAGCACUAGAAAUCAAAGGAGAACAAAGAAUUAAAUCAUACCAUUUUGGUCAUGAAAAACUGAGUUUUAGAAAACAAAAGUUCAGGGACGAGUAUGCCAAAAAGAAAGGGAAAUCAGACGCUUAAAAGCUGAGCUUGCUCAGAUUGAAUCUGACAAACAAAGACCUUCCCUUUUU
rnacentral:lncRNA from 1 species